rnacentral:lncRNA from 1 species
CUGGUAACUAUUCGUGAACCAGCCAAGGAAGCAAAAUUGGGAAUAUAUCAUACACAAAUUCAGUGCAACUCAUGAACUAUUUAAGACAAAGUUCUUCUGGCACGAGUAUACUGAGGUUAUACCAUUGAUCUGGGGAAAGAACAGUACAAAUGAGUUAGACCAGCAUUUGAAGCUUUAUUUGCCAGAAAUUCCGACAUGAAACAGCCCAUUCCUGGCUCCUUGUCAUUACAGUGUUUGAAGGUACGUGCCCAGUCACAGCAAUUGCUUUGUUGGUACCAGAACUGCUACUCCUAUAACCAAACCAAAAUAACAGGAGGAAACCAUCAGCUUGAAACCAGUGUGGCAGCGGCACUGGAGGCCCUCCUUGCAAUCACAAUCCUCAAGCCUACUCAAGUAAAACAAAAGUAUGAAUUAGUAUGUGAAACAGCAUAGGCAAUCACAAUAUUGAAUAUUUUACUGUGCAUACAUGCUCAGAUCAAACUAUUCGUACAACAUUAUGGUAUGCCGGCAACUAACUCCAUUAGGGCCCAUUUGGAAAGCAUGAUUCUACCACGGACACUAAAUAUUUCUGUGGCUAUAUAUCUAGAAAUAAUGUUUAUGGUUGACAUUUCACGCAAGUAACCCAUGGGUACAAGCAACUUUCUCCUGUCAAAAUGGCAUGACCAUUAUCCCAGUGAUUGACAUGAGAUCAGCAGCCCCACUGAUACAAACAUUCUGCUGUUAAAAUCAUGUCUGAUGCCAGUGGUUAUAGAUAUGGAAAACUAGCCCACCGAUAGGGAAGAGCAUGACUCCAUUUGUUUUCCAUGCUUCAAUGGGCAAUAUUAUUGAUCAAAGUUGGCAACUGGACAAGGUCUAUAUGAAGAAAAUGUAAAUAGUUUGUCUCUGUGUGUGUGUGUGUGUGCGCGCCACUUUGUGUUACUGUUUACUGUAAGAUACGGCGACUUCUACACGUGCUGCGGUUCCCUGAGGUGCAAAGAAUAUUUCGCACAGCCGCAAAGAACCAUAUAGAACUGUAUAUUUCGACUAGAGAACUAGAGAGACAGAUAUUUGAUCUGGUUUCAGCCUGCAACUAUCAAUGGCCGCAUCUAUCUAUCUAAAUAUCUCCUAUAGCCCCACAUAGCAAUGCUGAAAACAAUGUCACACAUAUUAACAGAGCAGUCAUCAAGUAUGAACAAUGCAGCCAUCUAGACUAAGACCUAUAUACAGGGAAGGGCACGGCACCUCCAUCUAUUAAUAACAGUACACUGGAUUCUCAACAAUCUGCUAUCUCGCAGAAGCAGAGCCGGGUAAAGAUCGUCUAAACAUGUGAAAUGUGCUACAAACAUGAUCAUAUGGACUUCACAUCAUCCCCCCUCUCCCAUCUUAUGCAUGGAGGAUAGGAAAUCAACUAAAAUUCAAAAUGCUGAAACUAGUGCGCGGGGCGUCGGGUUUUCACCGGGAUCCAGGCGCGGCGGUGGCUCAGGUCUGGCGGCGGAGGCGCUUCCGGAGCUUGCGGAGCUUGUGCUUGUUCAUCUUGCGCUUCCGCUUCUUCUUGACGCUGUCCGCCCACACCUCCGCCUCAUUCGCCUCCCCUCCGUCCUCGCGCGCGUGAAGGUCGCCCCCUGCUCUCGGGACGUCGACGAGGGACGGGUAUACGUGCACGGCGGGAUGGAAGGCGAACAGGAGGUCCCGGAGCUUCGGGUCCGGGGCCGGGGAGCCCGGGAAAGGAGGCGCCGGGGGCUGUGGCUGCGGGUGGAGAUGCGGCGUCAGGUGGGGGAGGAGCGGGACGGGGACGGGGAGCGGCGGCGGGUUGCAGAGGGGGAGGGGGAGGGGGAGGCGCAGGCGCAGGAGGAGCCUGCGGGCCGGGGCGGCGGCGGCCAUGGAUGGAUGGGAGAUCCGCGGGGAGGUGGAGGCGGCUUGGAUGCGAGGGUUUGGGAUGGUCGGUCGGUUUGGGCCGGAGCCGGUGCGGCUAAGCCGAGCUUCCCACCCCACACUGGGACCGGACCCGAGCUCAGUCUUUCGGCGUCACCGGACCAAAACCUAAUUAAGGUCAAUCAAGUGAAAUGAAAUACUCCCUCCGUUCUAAAAUAUAAGACCUUUUAGAGCAAUGUGGCGUUUUGGUGGCCGAGCAUCGUGCAGGCCGGAAUCUCGCGCCGUGCAAUGAAGCGUCGCGAUGUGUGCGUGCCCGUUUCCACGCGGAUAUACGGGAACUGCUAACGUUGAAAUACAAGGGUACCGUCUCUGCUGUGCUAGCGUUGUACGUGGGCCGCGUAUGUAACUGCCGUACGCAAGCACGUCAUGUGCUGCUGGGCUGAUUUAAAAACAAUACAUGUAAUUGGUGGGGCGGUGGGCUGUUGCGGUAUUAACUCUGGGUCCAUGGAUGUGGCACCGCUGAGGGCUUAACUUGGGGCCCCUGCUUCUUCCUCCCCUAGUCAGGGAACACAUCCCCUUUCCCGUGGUAGCUGUGCGGAGCGGCAAUUCGCCAUGGAUGGCCUCGAGUUUUUCUUUGAGGAAGCGGAAUCAGGGUGAGGAAAACAAAAUCUGCUAUCCUUUUUUUCUAUUGCACUUGAAUCGUACAUAACUAAAUCUUCUACUACUUGAUUUUCUCUGCUUUUUGAUUCAUGAUUCUUCUUCUCCCUCUUUUUGUUGGAUCUGACUAGUUGUGAAACGUGUAUGUGUCGCAGUCUGGUUCCUAGGGUGGAUGCGGGUGAUAUUCUGGGCGGUGGAAUAGAUGUUGUGGCGUCCGUGGUUGCUUCCAUCAAUGAAGUUCGCGGGCGACCUUCUGAUGUGAUUUCUUCUGAACUCAUUGACAUGAGUAGCGGCAAAGAUCAGAUCCGAUGGGAGGGCGCGAAUGUUGAAUCACGCCACAACGGCGGCAAUGAGGUCGUUGCUGACUCAAACGAUACGACGGCUCAAAAUACGCCCGAUGCAUCUAUGAGAGAGGAGGGAGAUGCAGAUGGUGUCGUCGUCAACAAGCUCCUGCCGGACUCGACUCGACGGUAACAAAACAUACUCAUUUUUUGUCAUUGCUUUUCUGCUAGAGCAUGGGUUGUAGCUUUCAUGGAACUAGCCUGUAGCAAAAACACACACAUUCGAGAGACCGUACAUGGAUCAGCAAGCAAAAAAGAUAAAAUCCUUCUUUUCACAUGUUUUGAUGCUAUCUUCAAGACAAGUCAUGAGUUCACACCCAGGUGUUAAAAUGCCCUUCGAAUCAUAGCUUGUGAUAAAAAAAUGUUUAUAAAUGGUUAAUCAUUAAAAUUUGAUAGUUACCGUGUUCAUUUUUUGUAUUUGCCAGUAGAAGAAAACAGUUAACAUCAUUUCCUGAAAUUUUUGAAGUGUUAGGAUUGGCAACGCGCCAGAAGAGAGGGAUGCCAAUCCAAGCAGAAUCCCUGCCCUUGAAGCUUCAAUGCGAGCAUACCUCGACAGCAAGGUCGGCGCUGUUGUUAAUCCGGCGCUCGGAACUAGCUUUGACACGGUUGAAGAAGCGUAUGAAUUUUACAACCUAUACUCAUGGGAGACUGGCUUUGGCGUCAGGUAUGCCAAAAGCAGGUUGAACGUCCAUCGCAAAAAAUGUAUGCAGGAGUUUGUUUGCGCAUGUGCGACGAGGAUGAUUCAUUAAUUUAGACAAUAAAAAUGUUUCCCUACCCCAGUACUUUUUGAGCUUAUGUUCUUAUAUCUGGCUCCGGAAAAAAUCCUCACAGGUAUUUGAGAAAAGAAAUGUCUCCUUCUGGUUGUGAAUGUUUUCACUUUUGUUUACGCAUGGUGUGAAUUUUUUUCGCGUGGUGUGUGCUGACAAGGAAAAACUGUUGAUUCCAGACCAAGCUCGUGCGAUGGAGGUUGCCAUAGAAGAUGUCAUGCCACACACCACACCCCGGUGGUGCAAAUGGCAUGUGCUAAAGAAAGCAAAAGAGAGCCUUGGGACGCUGAUGGGAAACGGUAGUGAGUUCAAACAGGAAUUCAAUAAGAUGGUCCACCACAUUGUUUGUGAGAAAGAAUUCGAAGAUGGUUGGGCAUGCAUGCUUGAGAAGCCUGGUCUACAAAAAAACACAUUUCUCACGCAAAUAUAUGAGACCCGAAUGAAGUGGGCUAAACCUUACUUCAUGGAUGUUUUUUGCACCAAGAUGACGAGCACGCAGCGGAGUGAAAGUGCAAACCAUUUGCUCAAAGGGUAUGUGCCACCAGGAUCCCCCAUGCAACUUUUUAUCAGGAAGUACGAUAAGAUGCAAUUUGAUAGAGAUUCGGAGGAGAGUUAUCAGGAGAAGAGAACAAAACUGGUAAGACCAGACAACUUAUGUCUUGUCCCGUUACGAGCAAUUUAUCUUGCCCUGAAAACAUGUCAUGACGUCAACAGAUAUGUUCCCGCAUGCUAACAAUAUGUUUGCACAUGCAGGGUGGAGCUGUGCUGGCUCAGAACCUACCUAAAUUUACACGAGGGCUAUGUUUGAAAAAUUUGGCGAGAUGCUAUGUGAGUGUAGGUCAUAUGUUUUGAUUGAAGUUGUCAGACAUGUAAAGAAGGAUUCCAAGGACAAAUGGUGUAAAAAUGAAUUCAUCAUUCAGGUCAACGAGCUAGCCGACGAAUUCAAGUGUGAGUGCCGAAUGUUUGAACAUUUCGGCAUGGUGUGCAGUCAUGCAGUGAAGGUGCUUUUUUCUUUCUAUUUUUGUUGAUAUGUUGUAAGUGCAAAAGAAAACAAAUUACCAAAAACCACCUAACAAGAAAGGGAACAAUCUUUGACACAUAUAUGUUUUUGUAUUUUUGUCCCCAGGUGAUGAUCCAACUUGGACUGGAAGAGGUUCCACCCAGGGACGUGCUGAAGCGUUGGACAAGGGAUGCAAGGGAUAUACUCCCUCCAGAGUUUCUACGAUACCAAACGGACCAGGGAUCUCUCAAGUACUCAUCACGGCGACAUAACAAUCUGCAUCUGCUUUGCCUUGAGAUUUUUAGACUGGGUGACAGUAACGUGGAUGCAUAUGGUCUUGCGAUGGAGCAUCUAACAAACCUGAAAACUUUGCUGGAGCCGGUGGCUGUUGUACGUGAUGGUAUGGGGUUAUCUGACAGAGAGAUGGCAGGUGAUUCCACAGUAUGGGGUUAUCUGACAGAGAGAUGGCAGAUGAUUCCGCAGUAUGGGGUUAUCUGACAGAGAGAUGGCAGGUGAUUCCGCAGGUUCAACUACAGCACACAAGCAACAUUUUGGUCUAAGGAAACAGGUGCAAGCUGCCUCCGAAUGUUCAGACAGCUUUGGAGCGCCAUCAAAGAAGAGACCAGCGGGACGUCCCACGACAAGCCGUGACAAAGCACCAUACGAACAACCAACUAAAAGGAGUAGGCUCUGCUCAAUCUGCCGUGGCCAAAGGCACAAGAGCACUACAUGCCCGCAGCGGGGGAUCUUCCAAAGGCACCGAGGAAGUCGCCUCGCUGCUCCAGGUGCAGCCUGACUGGACACAGAAGGAACACCUGCACCAACACGCCGAAAGCAGAUUUCUACGGUAGAUUUUAUUUGGUUUUUAUGCUUAAAAUAUGGCACUUCAAGUAAUUGUGCUUUGUGUGGAUGUCAGACUGAUAGUAACUAUUUUCACCUGUUUAGUGAAUCUGAGAAUCUGUAGUAUUGUUUGUUGUCAGAAGAAUUUAGUUGGACAUGAUGUGUUUCUAAAUGUGAAAUCUCUUGUUUGGUCCUCGAAUUGUGUUGCUUUUGCUUGGUGUAUCACUUAAUAUGCAGGCUUCCCCCAAGCAUGUGAAGAAACGGUGAAAUAAGUAUUAAAAAAUGUUGAACGAGUAUUUUUGAAAAAAUGCUGAAUAACUAUUAGAAAACGUUGACCCAGAGAUAUGAAAAAAUGAUGAACAAAAUUUGAAAAAAACGGUGAAUAACUUCUACCCGGCUGAUGUUCGUCUCCACCUGGACCUCGCCGCAAUCCGGGCACAUGAUGAGCGGCAGGUGCUAACUCCUUUCACUGGAACGAACUGAGGAUGAAGAUGAAGCUAUGUCGAUCUUGUUUGAGUUGGAUGCACCUCCGCUCCGAUGCAGAGCUAUCUCUCGUAUAAAUACCCGGUGAGACCAAACGCAACAGUAGGAUCAUCAACGUUCGACCCAAACGGCUCCCUGCCAUGCACAUGUUGACCGAGUCAAUUCCGUGCCGAGUACAUGAGGCAGGAAGUGUUGCGCGCGUGAACGCGACAUGCAGGUGUGCUGCAUCUCGUGUGCCUGCUAUGCAGCUGUGCUGCACUCAGUGUGCCUUCUAGUGUAUGUGAGCCCGUAAUGAUUAUUUAAUAGCAAAUACAGGCGUUGUACACCAGGUUAUCUAGGAAUACAGUCGCUAUACGGUAGCUUUAUGCACGCUAGGCACCAAUCGCGCCGAGCACUGACGGGGCUGAUUUCGGCCUGCAGGGUGCUCGGCCACCAAACGCCAUUUUCGCUUUUAGAGAUUUUAUUAAAAAGCUACAUAGGAAACAUAAUGAGUGAAUCUACACUCUAAAAUAUGUCUAUGUACAUCCGUAUGUAAUUUAUAAUGCAAUCUUUAAAAGGUCUUAUAUUUAGGAACGGUAGGAGUAUAUAUAAGCAUCCACAGCCGCAACUUGCAGAUCCGGCCCCUUCAACGUUUAUGAACCUGACCGGUUAUUACCUCAAAUAAUGCAUUCUAUCUAUAACCAAAGACCUCAUAUCUUAUAUCUUAAAUUUAUAUAAAUCAUGCCACUGCUACGUCGAUGCAUUACAUAUCGUCUCACUACUCCAUCACUACUAAUAUAACAUGUUAUCGGACUUCCAAAAUUUGAUAUGUUUGGCCAUGUUUGACAUUAGCCACGACUGCCCUUGCCUCUCUCGAAGCCCUUGUCCUUCUCGCCGAAGUACGCAUCGAGCCGGAUUUGCUCGUCACCUCGGCUGUGCUCGUCAUCGCUCACCUCCUCCACCUCCUUCGAUGGCAGUCCGGUCAUUCCACGGACCACCCGACUCUGCUCACGGGGAGGGCGCGCGUGUUCUGUCGCUGCCGUUUCUUAAAAAUGCGGGCGUGGAUGGUUUCCUCCUUUGCGGCCGCUCGCGCCGCCGCGUCAGCCGCCUCCGGCUCCGCCAUUUCCUCUGCGAGAUAGACCUCAGCGACCCUUAUCCUCUCCUUCCCACGACGGGCAACACGUUACUGGUGGGACUCGAAGUCCAUCGGACCGUCGCUCGGUUCCUCUAAUGACAUCUCCAAGCUCGUGGUCAAAUCAUCAGCAACUAUCUAGAUCGCGUAGUUCAAACGUAUUUUACUAUCCAACGCGGUUUUAUAUCGGUUCGUCGAUCGGUCUGGAUUUUUUGUCUUAAAUUGGAAGCAAAUUGGGGGAGCUUUGCGGGAGUCCGGACCACCACCACGUACAACCCGCACACCCUCGGCCCACUAAGAUCCCCCUCCCAGUCACAUUCACUACCACUCCAUCCCUGUCGCGGAUGUACCUCUCCGGCCACCAUCCAAGCAUUACCGGACGUCCACAGCCACCACCCAUGCGCCCACUCGUCUUGUACUACGGUUUUGUCCUCCUAGGAUCUGUCCACGGUCAGGUACGCUCCGUCCCCCUUUCGACGAUGCCCAUGGAGGACACUAGGUCUCGCAGGUAUUCAGACAAAUGUCAUUGAGCUUCUUUUUCAAAUUUCAUGUCAUUUUCGAGAGCAAUAAGGAUGGUGGGGUACUUAGCCAUGGAGGAUGAGUUGUUGUGAGAUGCUUGUUGACGGUAUCUGCGGACUUCGUAGCAGGAUCAUAAGGGGGCUCUUUUGGUAGUGUGUGCACUGUCUGUUUCAUGUGCGAAAGCACACUGUGCCUUUCGACUGCCUUUCGACAUGACAUCAUCGAUGGUACACCAUCCAGAAUUCUGUCACGAAGUUUUGUGAUUUGCUUGAUCGCCUAGAGGCAAUAUGGCCAGUGCAAGCGGCAACCAUGAAUAUCGUAAGUUUUGCUUCUUCUUGCUCUACAUGUUGAUUGAUUCAUUCACUCAUUAUUGCUCUACGCGUGCGUUCUGUAGCCUGAAUUACAGGUCAAAGGGAAGACCCUUCACCCAGAUGUAUUGUUGGAUGAAACUCAAGGGUAAAAGGACGUGGAUGUCACCUAAAGGGGGGGGGGGUAGGCGCUUUAAAAUAAUUACGGUUGAUGUCGAGGGAACAAGCGUGACAAUGAGAGGGCGGAGCCUAGCUACGACGCAAGUGCAACACUCAGAUGUAUGAGUUCAGACCUCACCUGGAAGUGGUAAAGACCCUACAUCUCGAGCCCAGCGAAUUAGUGUUGCUUAUGGAGAUGUGAAUACACGGUAUGCUUAACCCUUGUCCAGGAGCUCGGGUGCGGCUUAUAUAAAGUGCACCACCACCAGCCGAGCGCCAUAACUAGGGCAUUAAUAUAAAUGAAAGUAGGCGUUACUAGAAAGUGUUGUCUUAACUAGAGGCGUUACAUGUAACGUUAGUCUUGACAGCAAUUCACGUGAAAGUUAAAGUCCCGUAGUCGUUGCAGCCCUUCGUCGUCCACACGUUGCCCUGGUCCGAGUGCCGGUGUGCAUCCCACUGAUUGAAGGCUGUCUGAGUGACUUUGUAUGUCCGACUGGGACUUUAGUACACUCAAAUUCCAUUCAUUUUUAGGAUAUAUUACAUCGAUUCUAAUGGAAUUUUAUAUAAAAAAACCCUAGUCUAAUCAUCUUCCUCAUCACUCCUCGUGAGGUCGAUAACCAUCGCGUCGCCGUCGUCGUAGUCGUCCUCGUCACUGCUCAGAAGCUAGUCAUCCUCCUCCAGCGCCACGGCAUGUUGCACCGCCGCCAUGGUCUGCUCUUCGUCCAAGGCCUCCUCCAUAGCCGCCCGUGCGGCCUCCUCCGUCGACUUCGUCAGCGCCGCUAGCAACUCAGGCAUGUCGGCGGGGUCGCCGUCCUGGUGCAACGUCGCCUGCUCCGACGGGAGCGGGACCUCCGGCGUGGCAGGUGGGGCGGCGGGCGUGGCAGGUGGGGCGGUAGGCGCGGCUGCACGAUGGCGGGAAUGGCCGGCCUCCCAGGGGAUAUCUUCGACGGGGACACCAUGGGCGGGGCGCCUGAACGCCCCGACGACAGUGUCGAAGUUCUUCCCGGUUCAGUAACGGUGGCGACCUAUCCUGUUGUAUCGGCCACCAGGGUGUCGUCGGAGCUCCUCCCUCGACGUCGGUGGGCUGAGGGUUGGGUAGCCAUCAGCGGAGAUUCGCCACAGUCGUGGCAGCUUCGCCGACGGCGACUACAGCCCGAACCGAGCCAGAUCUUCGGUCUGGCCAACGGUCAGGCACGACAGCCAGACGCCGCCCGACGCCACACCAUUGCUGCCGGAGCCGCUCAACAUGGUGGCCGCGUCGAGAAGGAAGAGAGGAGGAGGGGGUGGUGCUGGCCGCGCCGAGAAGGAAGGGAGGAGGACGGGGUGGUGCUGGCUGGGACGGGGGCCGAUGUCGGUUUUAUAGCCCCGCGGGGGCAGCUGAGGUGCCGGGCGGCCGAACCGCGAGCCGAACCGCGGCGUUAAUGCACACGGUAGGCAAGGCGGUCGACCGGUCAGCACGUGCGGAAGCCGAGGAAGAAGUCGACGGUGCAGCGCGACAGCCGAGGAAGCAGGCUGCGGUGCGGCAUCCGAGGGAUAAGGCGACGGUGCCACCGCGUGGCAGGCGAGGCGGCCGGCUGGUCAGCGGGCAUGGCAAUCGAGAAAGAAGGCGGCGGUGCCAACGCGCGCGACAGGCGAGGAAGAAGGUGAUGGUGCCAACGCGUGCGGCAACCAAGACGAUGUGCGGUCAACCGCCGUGAUUCGCGCCCGCGUGACGUGGGAUUAUUUUUUAAAUAAAAAAUCACCGUAUACGGAUACGUACGGCUGCGCGGGAGGAUGGACACUUUAAAAUAUGCUCAAUUCAUCUUAAUUAAUAUCAUGUCGUAAAUAGUCAAACUAUAUAAUUCAUCUAUGGACAACACCCGCACGGGACAUCCACAUGUACGCCCUUACUCCCACAGAUCAUAUUUGUAUGGAUUAUGUUGUUAUAUUAUGGUUUUUUUUUGUGAGAAGUGUGUUAUAUUAUCUGUUCACUCAAAGAAGUACAAUAUUGGUCCAAUUUGAAAUAUAUUGUUGUGCGUAGCUAAUAUUUUUUAAUUAUACUUUUUUUUUCUUAUUUCUCAUUUUCGUAUUCGGUAUACCAACGAUCACAUCACGUUGUGUUUGGCCACACAAUGAUGGAUGUUGUAAUACGGAGAGGGUCUAUAGCGGAUCUCUCCAUCGUCGAAGGAGCAAAUCCCUGUCUUUAACUAUCAAGUCCCUAUUUCAAUGUAUGUGAAAGUUAUUGUUAUAAUCAUCAUGUUACGGAUAAAGUUUGAUAAUCCCAAAGCACACUGCCCGACACGAACACAACAUUUUCAUGGUCUAAGGAAGUUAAAUAUACAUUAGCACUUGCAUGAUUUGUACUAGUAACAUUGUGAUGAUGUUAUCCGGAAGUACAUUAAAUUGGGCCUGUCAACCACCAUUGUUUCACCAAAAUUUCCUCCCAUUGUCACUGGCAUCCCUUUUUAUAUUAAAAUGCACUCUGAUCAAGAAAACGAGACCAUCUUUGUUAUUUAUUUCCUAACACAUGGACUAGUCUUAGGCCCUGUUUCUUUAAAAAGUCCUAGGACUUUUUUUAGUCCCAACUAAAAAGUCUCUAGUCCCUACAUGUUUCUUUCCAAGGACUAAACAUAGACUAGAGGUCAUUAAAUGACAUAUAAAAAGACCAUGUUACCCCUAGUAAUAUACUACAAGUUAUUAAAUAACAUGCUAAAAGUAGGGGCAUUGUUGGGAAAAGAGCCAAAAAAGUCCCAAAAAGUCCCUCCCAUAGGGACUUCUUCCUUUAGUCCCAACUACCCCACUUUAGUCCCUAAAAGUCCCUCCUGUUUCUUUCACAUGGGACUAAAAGGGACUUUUUGUAGUCCCUACACCAAAAAGUCCCUGGAAAGAAACACCCCCUUAGUGGUGAGACUAAGGAACCACUUGGUGUUUACCUUUUCAUAUGCGCAACUCGGCAACUGGGUUUUUCUCUGAGUCUCAUAUUCAAGAACCAUUGCAGUUAUAACACAAAAAGUAAACAUUAAUUAUAAACAUAGAAUUAAAUAAUAAUAUUUAGUAUUGCCUCUAGAGUAUACUAGUUAAAUGCCCGUGCGUUGUCACAUGCAACAAAAUUAUAGAUUGAGACAUUGAUUAGAACAUUAUUGUAACUCCAAGAACGAAUGUGUGGCAUGCGAUUAUUACUUCAGUGAGAUAAACAUCGUCUGUCUGAACUCCAAACAAACCACUUGACAUUUUUCUCCUUUCAGUUUUUCAGUACCUUUUUUGUUUUGGAUAAACCAUAUUGCUCCAGGCUAUGCCUGGCAAAGCAAAAGGAAAGAUAUGAGGCAAAUAAUUACAAUGUCUAUUAGAUGAAUUAUUAUCCAUAUGUUUUAGUAAUUCACAAGACAUUUGGCUGCUGAUGGUAAACAUGUACCGAGCAUUAUCAAAUUUUUUUUACACAAAAUCAACCAAUGUUUCUCCAUGAACAUGCACUGCAGUAAAAACAUCCGUGCGAAAAGUUAAUACAUGCUUCUCGGAAAUACCCGCUUGUUUGGUUGUUUAGAUUCUAAAAAAAUGAUCGUCUUAUUCCUUCCAUCUGGAAAAAUAGUACACAUCUCUCAUGCUCUGUUUUCUUUCUGCCUGGUUUUUACGUGUGCCCAGUUUAAUACGGUGGAAGUGGUUAAGGAUGGAAAAUGAAUUCAGUGGAGAAACGAUUAACCAGGCGCGACCUAAAUGUUUUCCUUUGUUUGGCUGAGAAAGAUGUUAUCUUAGCAACAACACCGAGUGUCAGUCCUUUCACACCAUGAUCUCUCCAGAUAGAACCCAUGGCAUGGAACAUUUCUUUAUCUACCAUUUAAUGCUCACACUAGUGGAGACGGGGCCUUUAGCCCCGGCCCGUAAGGGGCUUUAGUCCCGGUUCACCAACCGGCACUAAAGGGGCGGGACUAAAGGCCUAACCUUUAGUCCCGGCCCUGUUCCAAGCCGGGACUAAAGGUGCUCCACGUUGGCGCCUCGUAGCGCCCCAGGGGCUCCCGGUUCGUUACACGGACCGGGACUAAAGAGUUUCAGAUUUUGUUUAUUUAUGGGUUUUUUUUUGAAUGAAAUUAUUUUUGGGUUUUAGGGUUUUAGGGUUUAGGUGUUCGGGAGAUUAACGUGAUGCCUCGUUUGGUGUUCGGGAAUUAGUUUUCAUAUAAUUUAAAUAGAAAUAAUUAUGCAUAUAUAUAUAUAUAUAAGAUUAACUUAUCUUAGAAGCGAUCAUAUAUAUACAAUUAUAUGAAGAUCUGAAUUAUCGGGACUAGAGCCCGUCUAUUCGAUUACAUGGACGAACAUCAGUAAUGGCCCUUAGCUACACUAAAUCGUCAUUUGUCUUCUAUAGCUUCCGUCCUCAGAAAUCCCGCAAGCUCCUCUGCAACAGCAAUCGUGCGUUGCUCUGGUAGGACCUUCGUCCUCAUGGCCGUGUGCUAUAUAAGAAGAGGAGAUGAAUAUGAAUAUCAAUCAUGAUAACAAAGAAUGACGGGUAAAAAUAGAGGUGUGAAUGUUCAUUGCUUACGUCGAAUCUGUGAUCCUUGAGCUCAGAGGUAAAUGUGCGAAUGGUCUCGCAAACAUAGUAUCCGCAUAGAUGCGUUCCCCGUGGCUGCUGGUCGCACUUUACGAGAAUAGAAUAUAUAUAAUCAAAAUAAUAAUCUAGCAUCAUAAAUGUAUUGAAAAUUAAUAGAAGUAUAUCAUACUACUACUUACCUGAGCCGCUCUAAAGGUCAGCUUCUCAGGAAAGAUACCGGGAGUCACGCACUUGAACCGCUUCCAAACCCUGCCCGACAAGGAUAAUGAUUUGCUAAGUUUUUCAUUAAUUGAUACAUCAGAAAAUCAUCGAAAGAGACCGAUAGAGCGCAAGAAUAAUUGAAAUUACCCUUGGAGCAUGUCCUGCAGGCUUUGGAACUGUUCCAAGGGUCUCGAUAAUGGGUCGAAGGCAUCAACUCUUCCCUUAUCAAUUUGAAUGUCCAACAGAAUCCAAUGAAAGCUGCACAUGUAUAUAUAUAUAUAUGUGUGUGUGUGUGUGUGUGUGUGUGCGUGUGUGUCAGUAACUUAUCAAUUACACUUAUAAGUGAAUGGACACAACAGAGUAAAGACCCUCACCUGAAGUUGUAUGGAAACAGUAUGUGGUCACAGAAAUUUUGAUCUGUUAGAAACCUUAGAAGGUUUUCCUCCGUCUCCUUGGGUUUAUCAGUUAGCGUCGCUAUAUGUAUUUUAUCUGGAUCAAUAAGCCCAAUAUUUAGGAUGUUCUUACUUUUACAAUCCAGAAUCUUCAUUCUGCAUAAUAGAGUACAAGUUAUAUAUAGAUAAUGAAUUGAAAUAACUAAACAAGUUAUAUGUAGACAACGAAUUGAAAAACUUACAGACAAUAGCAACUCAUAAGCGAUUUGUCGAGGACGUCGCCAUUGUACAUCUGGAAGAGUUCAUCAAAGUCGAUAUGGAUUUCUUCGGGGCAGCCAUAGUACUCCCGUGGGACACUCAGCACGAUCAUCGUUUUCCCAUUCUUUGAUUCACUUAAGUACCAUGUAUACAAGUAACGCAUAUUUGUCGGGAGAUCAUCUUUGCUGACCAAAGGCUCUCCCAUGACAAACUGUGGCUUAGGGGCUACCACAGCCUUGGGUAACCUGUCGUCUUGGGAAGCCAGAACAUCUUCAACCGGGACACCCCAUUCAGUCGCCCACUUCUUUGCUAAUUCCAAAUCUUGCCCCUGCACCGGAGGGGGAACAUUCUCGGUUAACACCUUGAGGGGUGAGAUCGACUGUUUGGCCUAUUGUCCAAGCUGAGGAACGUCUGAUUUUUUCUUGCUUGUAGUUGAACUUGAUUUUCUCCCACUUGCACUUGCACGUGAUCUGCUCUUUUUCACUUCCUUCUGCAAUGUGCGUGUAUAGUUAUCAGGCUUAUGGUGUAAGUCAUACUGUGAUGGAAGGGUCUUGAAGUAUUUUGCAAAUGCUAUUUGCUUCUCGGUGUAUUUCGGGCGGGGCUCGGGUUCCUUCUUUUUCAUCUGCGCAUCAUGAUGUUCCUUUGCUAUCCUGGCGUUCUCCUCGGGGGUACGACCAUAAGGUCUGAUAAGAAGAUUAGCAUGAGGUACCUUUGAGAGGGGCGACCGUUUGCGUUUUGGGGGGCUCCGUCGCUUAGAAAUCGUCGGCGGAGUGUUCUUGCUGGCACGCUUCCGCUUAGUAUCCGGAGCGGGCGGCGGCGGAGACGGACGACCCAAGUCCGGCGGCGGUGAUCGAGAUGGACUCGUGUUGUGCUGGCCGACGUCAUGUGGAGGGCUUGGAGGUAAUGGAGGUGUAGGUGACCUGCGACGACUCGGAGGCGGUGUUGUCCUUGGGGCCGAGCCUAGAAGCUUGAUGUAGUUCUUGUCCCAUAGGAUGACUCCACCAAGUACUUCUCCGAGUGUCCUCUCAUCUUCGGGUCCAGCUAUGUCGAGCAUCAUAUCAUGAAACCCCGCCAUGAUUUCAUCCACCCUGACUUUAGCAAAGCCAGCUGGAAUCUCACGGCCAUGCCAGCGUGCAUCAGGGCCAGAAGGUAAAGCUUGUCCGACGGCCACCUUUAUGGAUAUGCUCUUGAAUUUCUGAUGGAGUUCACAUGAUGUUGACUCCUUGAUUCCAUCCACGGGGUAGCCGGGACCGCCCUCUAUCAUUCUUCGUUCAUCGUCGGGCGGGGCCUCAGAUUUAGCCACGCUGCUUUUUCGCUUAGAUUGGGCGCCGGUAAUAUCAAAUGCAGGAUCUUCGUGGCGCGCUACUCCUCUAAGCUCAUCAAUCUGCUUUUGUUGCUCGUUAAUCCUGGCAAGCAACUGGUUGAACUUGUCAUUCUCCUCAUCCUGCUGCCGCUUCUUUGCUCUCUCUCGGCUUCUGUAAGUGUCUUGGUCUCUAGCAAACCCAAGCCACCACGGGUAAGAAGGACCGAAGCCUCGCGUUCGUCCUCCAUGUUCGUCAUUGCUGAGGACCAGUGUGAGCAAAUCUUUCUCUCUAUCUGCAGUGAACUUUCUUUUUCCCUCCUUAAUUUCUUUCACUAUCCUUUUCCAAUUCUCCCUGGGUAUCCUAAGACCGUCACUGCAGAUGAGGUCCCCUGUUUCUUCGUCGUACGAACCACCAUGCGCAAGGAACCAACUUCUUGCUCUCAAUUCCCACUCAAGCAUAUACACUAUACAAUAGCAAAAUUAAAUGACAAACAAUAUAUUUCUUCUUCUUGUAACCCUAAAGUAAUUUUUCCUCUUCUUCUAUUUCUCCUCUUCUUCUACUUCUUCUUCUACUUCUUCUUCUACUUCUAUUUCUCCACUUCUUCUACUACUUCUCCUCUUCUCUUCUUCUACUUCUCCUCUCCUCCUCUUCUAAUUUUUUCUCUUCUUCUACUUCUCCUCUUCUUCUAUUUUUCCUCUUCUUCUCCUCUCCUCCUCUUCUUAUUCUCCUUUUUCUUCUUUUCUUCUCCUCCUCUUCUUAUUUUCCUUUUUCCUAAUUCUAAAUAUUACUAACCCUAAUAAUCUAGCACAAACCUAAUAACAAUAGGAAUUAAAUGACAAAAAAAAUCUUUUUCUUCUUUUUUUCCCUUUUUCUUCCUUUCUUCUCCUUUUUCUUCCUUUCUUCUCCUUUUUCUUCCUUUAUUCUCCUUUUUCUUCUUUUCUUCUCCUUUUUCUUCUUUUCUUCUACUGGCCGGAGUGUUGGGGAGGAGGGGGCGGGGGGCUUACCGGCCGGAGGUGUCGACGGCGCGCGGCGAGGAGGACGGCGGCGCGCGGCGAGGAGGACGGCGGCGGCGAGGAGGACGACGGCGACGGCGAGGAGGACGGCAGGCGGCGGCGAGCAGGACGGCGGGCAGCCUGACGGUGUCGUCGAGUUCGUCGCUGUGCCGCGCCGGGCAGGAGAACGAGGAAGGAGAGAAGGAAAUGCGAUUUGGGUUGAAAAUUUUCUAACUCCCGCUUAUAUAGGUGGAUCUUUAGUCCCGGUUCGGGGCUCGAUCCGGGACUAAAGCCCCCCUUUAGUCCCGGGUGGAGCCACGACCCGGGACUAAAGGCCCUUUUUCGGCAGACCAGAAGGCGGGAAGCAGGGGCCUUUAGUCCCGGUUGGAGCUCCGCACCGGGACUAAAGGGGGUCUUUAGUCCCGGGGCGUGGCUCCACCCGGGACUAAAGCCUCUCCUCGGCUGCACGAUAAGUUUAGUCCCACCUCGCCCAGCGAGGGGGACUAACACUUGUUUAUAAGCCCCGUCGCAGCUUCUCCAUCGAGCUUCUCUCUAAAGCACACUUACGGGCCUAAACUCUCUGAAAAUUGAAACUAUAUUCGAAAUUAUGGAUAAAAUUCAACCUGAAUUCAAAGUGAGUUCACUUUGAAUUUAGAUUGAAUUUUCUCUAUAAAUUCUCAUAUAGUUUCAAUUUUUUUCUAUUUUCAUAAUUAAUAAUUUUGACUAUCCAAACUAUUAUCUAUUUUGUUAUUUUCAAUUAAAAACUAUGUUUAUUAAAAAUUCUUUUUGCAAAUUUGAGAAUUUGACAAAACUAUGAUAAUGAAAAGUGUUUGAAAUUGAAUAAAUAAUGCAAAACUAUUUUCUAUUUUCAAAAGUAAUUAUUUUGACUAUCCAAACUAUUAACUAUUUUGUUAUUUUCAAUUAAAACUAUGUUUAUUAAAAUCCUUUUUGCAUAUUUGAGAAUUUGACAAAACUAUGAUAAUGAAAAGUGUUUGAAAUUGAAUAAAUAACGCAAAAAUAUUUUCUAUUUUCAAAAGUAAUUAUUUUGACUAUCCAAACUAUUAACUAUUUUGUUAAUUUUAAUUAAAAACUAUGUUUAUUAAAAUUCGUUUUGCAUAUUUAAGAAUUUGGCAAAACUAUGAUAAUGAAAAGUGUUUGAAAUUGAAUAAAUAAUGCAAAACUAUUUUCUAUUUUCAAAAGUAAUUAUUUUGACUAUCCAAACUAUUAACUAUUUUGUUAAUUUUAAUUAAAAACUAUGUUUAUUAAAAUUCGUUUUGCAUAUUUAAGAAUUUGGCAAAACUAUGAUAAUGAAAAGUGUUUGAAAUUGAAUAAAUAAUGCAAAACUAUUUUCUAUUUUCAAAAGUAAUUAUUUUGACUAUCCAUACUAUUAACUUAUUUUUUUGAGCUAGUUGACUCUGAAAUUGAAAAGCACUACAAAUGAACUCUGAAAAUGUUGAAAGUUGGCAUGCUAUCAUCAUUUCACCCACAUAGCAUGUGUUAAAAAGUUGAGAGGGCUACGACAGAAACUGGAUGCACUUCGUGUACAAAACGGACAAUCUCUCUCGAAGUAUUAGCGUUUCGAACGAGAACUCAUCUCUUACAAAGGGAUUUCAUUUUUUUGAACUUAUUUGAACUCCGUACUUUUUGUGUGUUCAAAAUGCACCAUUCAAAGGCACAUCACAAAAUUUCAACAAUUUCUGACUUCAUUUGGUAUUCUUCGUGCAUUUNNNNNNNNNNNNNNNNNNNNNNNNNNNNNNNNNNNNNNNNNNNNNNNNNNNNNNNNNNNNNNNNNNNNNNNNNNNNNNNNNNNNNNNNNNNNNNNNNNNNNNNNNNNNNNNNNNNNNNNNNNNNNNNNNNNNNNNNNNNNNNNNNNNNNNNNNNNNNNNNNNNNNNNNNNNNNNNNNNNNNNNNNNNNNNNNNNNNNNNNNNNNNNNNNNNNNNNNNNNNNNNNNNNNNNNNNNNNNNNNNNNNNNNNNNNNNNNNNNNNNNNNNNNNNNNNNNNNNNNNNNNNNNNNNNNNNNNNNNNNNNNNNNNNNNNNNNNNNNNNNNNNNNNNNNNNNNNNNNNNNNNNNNNNNNNNNNNNNNNNNNNNNNNNNNNNNNNNNNNNNNNNNNNNNNNNNNNNNNNNNNNNNNNNNNNNNNNNNNNNNNNNNNNNNNNNNNNNNNNNNNNNNNNNNNNNNNNNNNNNNNNNNNNNNNNNNNNNNNNNNNNNNNNNNNNNNNNNNNNNNNNNNNNNNNNNNNNNNNNNNNNNNNNNNNNNNNNNNNNNNNNNNNNNNNNNNNNNNNNNNNNNNNNNNNNNNNNNNNNNNNNNNNNNNNNNNNNNNNNNNNNNNNNNNNNNNNNNNNNNNNNNNNNNNNNNNNNNNNNNNNNNNNNNNNNNNNNNNNNNNNNNNNNNNNNNNNNNNNNNNNNNNNNNNNNNNNNNNNNNNNNNNNNNNNNNNNNNNNNNNNNNNNNNNNNNNNNNNNNNNNNNNNNNNNNNNNNNNNNNNNNNNNNNNNNNNNNNNNNNNNNNNNNNNNNNNNNNNNNNNNNNNNNNNNNNNNNNNNNNNNNNNNNNNNNNNNNNNNNNNNNNNNNNNNNNNNNNNNNNNNNNNNNNNNNNNNNNNNNNNNNNNNNNNNNNNNNNNNNNNNNNNNNNNNNNNNNNNNNNNNNNNNNNNNNNNNNNNNNNNNNNNNNNNNNNNNNNNNNNNNNNNNNNNNNNNNNNNNNNNNNNNNNNNNNNNNNNNNNNNNNNNNNNNNNNNNNNNNNNNNNNNNNNNNNNNNNNNNNNNNNNNNNNNNNNNNNNNNNNNNNNNNNNNNNNNNNNNNNNNNNNNNNNNNNNNNNNNNNNNNNUGUACAAAACGGACAAUCUCUCUCGAAGUAUCAGCGUUUCGAACGAGAACUCAUCUCUUACAAAGGGAUUUUAUUUUUUGAACUUAUUUGAACUCCAUACUUUUUGUGUGUUCAAAAUGCACGAUUCAAAGGCACAUCUCAAAAUUUCAACAAUUUCUGACUUCAUUUCGUAUUCUUCGUGCAUUUUUUUUUGAGCUAGUUGACCCUGAAAUUGAAAAGCACUACAAAUGAACUCUGAAAAUGUUGAAAGUUGGCAUGCUAUCAUCAUUUCACCCACAUAGCAUGUGUUAAAAAGUUGAGAGGGCUACGACAAAAACUGGAUGCAGUUCGUGUACAAAACGGACAAUCUCUCUCGAAGUAUCAGCGUUUCAAACGAGAACUCAUCUCUUACAAAGGGAUUUCAUUUUUUUUGAACUUAUUUGAACUCCAUACUUUUUGUGUGUUCAAAAUGCACCAUUCAAAGGCACAUCACAAAAUUUCAACAAUUUCUGACUUCAUUUGGUAUUCUUCGUGCAUUUACUUUUUUUUUUGAGCUAGUUGACCCUGAAAUUGAAAAGCACUAGAAAUGAACUCUGAAAUUGUUGAAAGUUGGCAUGCUAUCAUCAUUUCACCCACAUAGCAUGUGUUAAAAAAUUCAGAGGGCUACGACAAAAACUGGAUGCACUUCGUGUACAAAACGGACAAUCUCUCUCGAAGUAUCAGCGUUUCGAACGAGAACUCAUCUCUUACAAAGGGAUUUUAUUUUUUGAACUUAUUUUAACUUCAUACGUUUUGUGUGUUCAAAAUGCACGAUUCAAAGGCACAUCUCAAAAUUUCAACAAUUUCUGACUUCAUUUCGUAUUCUUCGUGCAUUUACUUAAUUUUUUUUGAGCUAGUUGACCCUGAAAUUAAAAAGCACUACAAAUGAACUCUGAAAAUGUUGAAAGUUGGCAUGCUAUCAUCAUUUCACCCACAAAGCAUGUGUUAAAAAGUUGAGAGGGCUAGGACAAAAAGUGGAUGCACUUCGUGUACAAAAUGGACAAUCUCUUUGGAAGUAGAAGCGACCCGCACAAUAAGAGACGACAUUCUUCUUGUUCGUGUACAAAACGGACAAUCUCUCUCGAAGUAUCAGCGUUUCAAACGAGAACUCAUCUCUUACAAAGGGAUUUCAUUUUUUUUGAACUUAUUUGAACUCCAUACUUUUUGUGUGUUCAAAAUGCACGAUUCAAAGGCACAUCACAAAAUUUCAACAAUUUCUGACUUCAUUUCGUAUUCUUCGUGCAUUUACUUAAUUUUUUUUGAGCUAGUUGACCCUGAAAUUAAAAAGCACUACAAAUGAACUCUGAAAAUGUUGAAAGUUGGCAUGCUAUCAUCAUUUCACCCACAUAGCAUGUGUUAAAAAAUUCAGAGGGCUACGACAAAAACUGGAUGCACUUCGUGUACAAAAAGGACAAUCUCUCUCGAAGUAUCAGCGUUUCGAACGAGAACUCAUCUCUUACAAAGGGAUUUCAUUUUUUUUGAACUUAUUUGAACUCCAUACUUUUUGUGUGUUCAAAAUGCACGAUUCAAAGGCACAUCACAAAAUUUCAACAAUUUCUGACUUCAUUUCGUAUUCUUCGUGCAUUUACUUAAUUUUUUUUGAGCUAGUUGACCCUGAAAUUAAAAAGCACUACAAAUGAACUCUGAAAAUGUUGAAAGUUGGCAUGCUAUCAUCAUUUCACCCACAAAGCAUGUGUUAAAAAGUUGAGAGGGCUAGGACAAAAAGUGGAUGCACUUCGUGUACAAAAUGGACAAUCUCUUUGGAAGUAGAAGCGACCCGCACAAUAAGAGACGACAUUCUUCUUCUCUCAUAUAUGAUGGACACUAGCUCACCUGAUUUUUCAUCCGUCGAUGAUGGUCGCUACUCCUACUUCCCCUAGUGCAUAACCAAUAUCUAGCACAAGGAGAAGAAGGAGAAACGACCCCCACAGCAACAGUCGACAUUCUUCUUCUCUCAUGUAUGGUGGACACUUCCUCACCUGAUUUUUCGAGCGUCGAUGAUGGUCGCUACUCCUUCUUCCCCUAGUGCAUAACUAAUAUCUAGCACAAAGAGAAGAAGGAGAAGCAACCCCCACAACAACAGUCGGCAUUCUUCUUCUCUCAUGUAUGGUGGACACUCCCUCACCUGAUUUUUCGACCGUGGUUCCGCUGCACGCCACGUGGUUCCGCUGCACGCCACGUGGGACUAAUGGUCUUUAAUUUUAAAUGUCUGUUUUAAUCAAAAACAGAUCUGUUACAAAAGGGAUUUCAUUUUUUGAACUUAUUUGAACUGAAUACUUUUUGUAUAUAUAUGUGGUCGAAAUGCAUGAUACCAUGAAGUUAGAAAGGGCUAAACCAUUCAAAAGUAGCAAAUGAAGUUAGAAAGGGCUAAACCAUUCAAAUUUGGAAACUAUAAUGGCACAAACAAAAACUAGACAUAUAUAAAUUGGUCCAAGCAGUACAUGAUACUAGUCCAAACAGUACAUAAUAAUAGCUAUCAUAGAUAUAUAUAUUCGAGGUGAUGCUGGCCAUACUUGACGACUCGAAUCAGAAUGUCUACCUUAUUCGAGGUGACGCUGGCCAUAGUUGACGACUCGAAUCUUGCAGUACAACUCGUAUGAAACGUAUGCAUCUUUUGCUGCAUACUCAAUGUUGAUACGAUCAAGUGGGGCCUUCUCCCAAAGUUUGUGCUGAGACUUUGGGAAAUUGGUCUUCAUAUUACCAUAUUCCUCGUCGAUCAAGGCAACUGGCAUAUGAGCCAUCGAAGUCCUGACAUGUCGAAGCCUGAAUACCGUUUGGAGAUCAAUGAAGCAACCAGUUGGUAUCUCAAUACCGAAGCUGUACCUCAUCUUCAGCUUGUCGUUCGUUAUGUCAACGGUAGCAAAAGUGAUGCCGUUGCGAAGGAAGUCCAUGAGUUCUGGACAAUGCUUGUCACUACUGCAACAGAAACAAAUUAAAAUGGAACAAAUGUUACAUACUGCUGCAAUAAGGAAACAUGUUUCACUACAACUAAAGAGAAAAUUAUCUUUAGGAUUCAAAUAGAACGUAUUGCUAUCCUAUGCAAUUUUCAUAUCCUACGAAUUGAUCAAGAAACCGUAAAUUAACUAUGACAUAUAUAUAUAUAUAUAUUCUCCCACGGUUUUGCAAAUAUUCAAUAAGCUAGACAUGUUGCAUAUUGCUAUCCAAUGGAACCUAGAGAGAUCACUAUAGCUAUCCAAUGGAACCUAGAGAGAUCACUAGCUAUAUGCAAUUUUCAUGACUAUGACAUAUCAUAUUGCUAUCCAAUGGAACCAAAAGAGAUCACUAGCUAUAUGCAAUUUUCAUAACCUUGGAUCAAAGAACACCACAUAAAAUUGUAUCACUACAACUAUGAUUUCAAUGGAACAUAUUGAACCAAUCAGAUUUUUUAGAUUGUGGAACACUAUUCCAAUCAGAUUGUGUUCCCUUCAACUAAUCAAAAUUGUUUCACUACAACUAUUUGAAGCGAACCAACUAUGAUUCCAAUGGAACAUAUUAAACACUAGUUGAUUCUAAUACGAUUUUUCAGAUUAUGGAACACUACUCCAAUCAGAUUGUGUUCCCCUUCAACUAAUCAAAAUUGUUUCACUACAACUAUUUGAAGGGAACCAACUAUGAUUGAAACAAAUAAACUUACAAUGUCAUUACCUUGGAUCAAAGAAAGCCUCAAAACUUACCUCGCCCAUUGGAAGAUCAAGACAUGGUGUGCGAAACAUAGUUGGAUGACGGCAACACCGCGUUGAUCGGCCGUGUACUCCAGAUCAAGCCCCAAGAACUUCUCAUAAUCCACUGCGGCGUCAAGGCAUCGUUCCUUCAACUGUCUAGGAAAAUGCGGCACCUCCCUGCUCUCAUUCGUGUACACGACAUCGAGCUUGGUCUUGCCAUGUGCGAGCACCUCUUCAAAGCGAGUUGGCAUGGUGGAAUAGGAGAAGGGAAGAACAGAGGAGAAGAACAGAGCGAGAGCGAGAGAGGAAGAAGAACAGAGAAAGAAGGGCGACGCGACACAGACUCUGCUUCGGUUGUGGUUGUUGAAGCGGGAUGCAAACCGUUUGGGCCUUUAGUCCCGGAUUGAGCCACCAACCGGGACUAAAGAGGUAUACCAACGGUUGCCACCACUACGGAAGGCCACAUGUUAGGCCUUUAGUCCCGGGUUGAGCCACCAACCGGGACUAAAGGGGGAUACGAACGGUUGCCACCACCACUGCCCACCGCGUAGCCCUUUAGUCCCGGUUUGGGACACGAACCGGGACUAAAGGCUCCUUACGGGCUGGGACUAAAGCCUCGAGGGAGGCAUUGAGAAUUGGAGCGACGUGGCCGGGCCUUUAGUCCCGGCCCAGAGGCAGGCCGGGACUAAAGGGUCCCGGCCAAAGGCCCGUUUUCCACUAGUGUCAUGAUCAUGAUUUGAUGGAGCCUUGGACAUGCAUUCGUUGUUUCAUAACUUCACAAGGCAUAUAGAUAAAAGAUGCAAGUGUAUCUCCUGGAAUGAGCUUGAAAACACUUAUGCGGUCCCAAGGAAUCAACACAUUAUUCUGAUGAAAAAAGCAAAUACUGGUACAACAUUACAUGAGUGAAAAAAGAUAUCACAAAAGUUUGAAUGUACAAAUACCACAUGCAUUACGUGCCACUAAAAAAUGACAAUGAAUAACUUAUUGAGAACUCCAUGUUGUGGUCAUGCACAAAAAUCUGUUUGUGCAACUAAAUCCUAGUAACAUGUUGAGAACCAGUAUAUUUUUAAUACCGCAUGAGGCAGAUUUUCUGAAAAGAAAAUACAGUAGACAUAAAAUAUAGUUUCUCACCAAGUCCUCCAACAAUAAGGUGAGACCAAUGACCUUUUAGAUUAGUAUGAUGCUGGGCUGGCUCCGCCCCUGCGCAACUGGGUUUUUCUCUGAAUCUCAUAUUCAAGAACCAUUUCAGUUAUAACACAAAAAGUAAACAUUAAUUAUAAACAUAUAAAUAAAUAACAAUAUUUAGUAUUGCCUCUAGAGUAUAUUUAGUUCAUCACCAUCAUAUUCUUGUUUGUCGUGGACUACAAUCAAACAGCACCAAGCACCCAACAAAGCAGCGACAAAUCAUCACCAAUAUUUCGGCUAUAGUAGUUGCUAAGACACAUGUACCUUUCGUCCAUGUAUCUAUCAUCCGUCAUCUCAACUCUGAUGCCGCCUAUGUGUCACGACGGACCAGAAGUGCAACCCUACGCACGCCAAGACAUGGUUGUUGUGAUAUGCCGCACGUAGGUUGGACGUCGCACGCAAAUCCAACGUUCUUUUCAUGAUCAUCCAUGUCAUGUUGCGAGCUGCACGCAGAGCGUCAUGGGUGCUAGGCUGUGGCCGUGGAUCGGGGAAGGGCAAUGCAAUGGACUAGAUGUGUGAUGCCUGAUAACCCGUAGAAAGAUAGUGCAAAGGCUGCGUCCCAAAGGUACUCGCCGGCACACGCAGUUUCUUGUUUCCACCCGUGUACACGUGUGACUAAUUGGAGGCUCCCCUUUUUUUUGAAAUAAAGACGCUUGACGCUAGAAGCGCCCGUCUUUUAUCUCUCCGUAAUAAUAAAGCACCGACUGUCUCUGUCGUCGGUCGUGCCAUUUUUACAAAAAGAAAACCCAACGUUUAAGUAAGAAAACGAAUCGUCUUUUACAGUUUACAUAAAAUUCCUUAUAUUUAAUCAAAACUAACCUGCAGUCCUGGUACUGUGCAGUCCAAAAUAUAAGUUGGUUUCAAAUUGCCCCUAAAGUUGACUAAAAUCACCCACCAAUGCCACAUAGAAAACGUUUCAAACAGGAAAAUCUCCGGACUGGACCGGCCCAUGUAGGCACCUCCUAUAUUACGCUCUGCGCAUUGGAAAAAGAUGCAGCACACCUGUUUGGGCCGGCCCAUGCGUGGGCGCCUGUUUUUUUGGUUUAGUUUUUAUUAUUUUUCUUUUCAGUUCCAUUUUAUUUUUUACUUUAAAUAAUUUAUAACUUCAAAUAACUUUUCUCAAUUUUAAGAAACAGAGAAUUUCAAAAUAAAAUAUUCAAAAAAAACAUAAUUUUUUAGAGAAUUCAAAAACUACCCAGGAGUUUUGAAAAAUGUUUGCAUAUACAAAAAAUGUUUAAAUUUUGAGAAAAUAUCUACAAAAUAAAAAAAAUCAAUGGUUGUAAACAAAAGUCCAUGUAAAGAUCUUAAAAACAGUUCGUGCCUCUGUUUUUAGUCUCGUUUUUUAUUUUCAUUUUUCUGUUCCAUUUUUUAAUUUAAAUAAUUUAGAACUUUGAAAAACUUUUGCAAUUUAUAAAACUGAGAAUUUUGAAAUAAAAGUUUGAAGAAAACAUAAAAUGUUUGUGAAUUCAAAAAAUGCUCGGGAUUUUUGUAAAAAUAUUCGCAUAUUCAAAAAAAUGUUCAUAAUUUUGAGAACAAUGUUGGUGAAAACAAUAAAAGUCCAUGAUUUUCAAAAAAAAGUUUGUGUACUAUUUUUUGAGUGCAAUUGAAAAAAAUGUUUGCUAAUUCAAAAAAUGUUCAUGCAUUUCAAUAAACGUCCUAAAAUUUUAAAGACAUAUUAUGAUUGGCACCAUUGAAGAUUUUAAUUGUUUUUCUCCCGUUGCAACGCACGGGCCCUUUUGCUAGUAAAUUUAUAAAAUCACUAGCCAACAUCCACACAAAGUUAUAACCUUAUAGAUCCACAAAGCUACAGUAGCCAACGUAACAAGUGCGAAUCAACGUUCAGAUUGACAAAUGCAAAAAUAGGCAAAUAUUAUGAUCAUGGAGCCUAACAACUACCGUGGAGGGCGACUCCAGAAGCUCAAUCUAUCGAAGCGGUUUACCGAGCCAGCGUUAUAGUGCUUCUAAUCUUCUGCAUGAUCAUCAGCAUGGGUUCAGCAUCGCGCUGCUUCCUCAACAGUGUCCACAUCUCUAAGAAGAGAUGGCAUUUGAACAUGAUAUCAGCUCGAUGAGCGGUGAAUUUCUUCUAAAUCGCAAUUUUGUUUCUAGUUGUCCAUAAUGACCUUUUCAAAAUUGAAUUUAGCAGAACACCUUCCCCUUUGGUGCGCUUCAGCUCAUCGACCCUUCGAGAAUGCUACGACCUUAAGGAAGACAGUCUCGCUUUUACUAAUCACUCAUUGCGCGAUUGGCGUCAACCGAGUGGAGUAAGCUUUUGCCACAACUUUAAGCGGCACAUUAAUGAACGUGAUAGGCCUGAACAACCUAAUAUUGUUGUCCGCUCCUUUGACUUUAGGGUCAAACUAAUAUCAUCGUAGUUAAGGCGGGACAAAUCCACCGUAUCUAGAGCAAAGCCGUUCACGAUCGCCUAGAACAGGUGCUUAAGGCACGGGCAAAAUUUCUAGAAAAAUUCCACCGGCCAACCAUCAGGGCCANNNNNNNNNNNNNNNNNNNNNNNNNNNNNNNNNNNNNNNNGGGCCAAGCGUCGUGUCCGUCUUCAUAUCGGACACAGCCUUGUCGAUCCCUUUAAGAAGGAAGCAUAGAGCAAGCUCGUCGUUCUCCUCCUGUGAAACCCGCUCCAUUGGGUCCCACAGAUCCUUCCGCAGGCACAAGGGCUUUUCAUCGACCAUCCCCAACGUAUGGAACUUUUGCGUUUCCGACCGUUCGCGUACGCCCCCCCCCCNNNNNNNNNNNNNNNNNNNNNNNNNNNNNNNNNNNNNNNNNNNNNCGUCCCCCCCCCCCCCCCCCCCCUUCUCUCGGUGUCAUGUAAACAUGCUAUAUGUAAGCUUUUACUAUCUUGUUGUAAGCGACUGGUUCGUCUCUACCAUGAAUUCAAACAAUAAUUCCGUACUCAGAUCAAUAAAUUAAAUUGCGAAUAUGUAAUAUUUAAUGUUUUCAUGAUAUCAAUAUUAGGCGAUACUCUUCAAACGAUUUGGAGAUAAAACUCCGUCGUGUACUACAAAAUUCCAAAAAGGGAAACUAAAUUUAGUUGUACAUCAUUGAAUUGCACACAUUUUUUCUUUCUGGUCUCCUUUUCCGUUUGCCCGGAUCCUAAGUCUUUUUUGAAUUUCUUCAACAGGAGAAAUCACAGGUUGUGGCCGGAGCCACACGUGCGCAUCAGGGGAGAUCCAUCCGGUACGCGGCGACUCCACGGGUUUGGUUUCGCCCGUGAUGAAGUUGUACUUUAACAAGCGAUGUAAGAAGACAAAGUAGGCACACCCACCGUCCAUGCCUAGCUGGUCGGAGUCUGCAGUGAAGCUCGUGGGGAACCCAAGGAACAGGACAUGAUCACCCAAGCUCCGGCCAUCUCUCUCCACCCAUUGCAUCUUGAUCUUGCCGCCGUCCACUUCUUCUUCCGCUGCACGCACCAUCACCGCUAGCGCCGGUACCACGGGCACAUUCGUGGACAAGGUGUCCAUGUUUUUGUUGUACCAUUCACGCUCGAGUAGGACGGACGCCCACAACAGCUCGCCGCGGGACUCGAAGACGUAGUUGUAAUAUCGCAUGUAACGUUUGUGCUCGGGCCUAUCCUCCGUCAUCUCGAGCCUGAUGCCGUCGGUGUCACCGCCAUUGUUUGCUAAAUCAUCUGUCGUGAAGCAGUAGAAGUGUCUGCGCGUCCACACUAAGACCUUGCCAUCGUGAUAUGCGGCACAGUUGUUAUUGUAUGCCGCCCACCCAUACAACCUCUUUUCCAUGAUCAUCCAUGCCGUGUCACCCGGGCGCAGGAUAGCUGCCGUGAAGACAGUAAUGUCAAUAUUGAGGUCGACAAAGCUGUACAGAAAAACAGUGCCGUCGCCGUACACGCCGCCAUGGGAAUUCUCCAUCCGCCGCCGGAUCCCAUGGUUGCCAGCGGGGAAGUGAGGCAAUGGGGUGACGGCUCCGGUGAUAAUGUCGCGGAGCGUUGGCUUGGGAGGUCGUCCAGCGAAGCGCCAGACGGCCUCGCCGUUGCGGCCGGCCACCCAGGCCGUGUCGUCGCAGGACGGGAGAACGUUGCCGUCGUAGCAGCGGUGGUAGCUCGAAGUCGCCUCGGGAGGGACGCUCCCGGAGUAGAACACGGGGGUGUGCAUGAGCAUGCCGCGGCCGGGGUGCUGCGAGAGCAUCCAUGGGAACAACUUGUGGCGGGCCGGCGUCCGCGCCGCGUUCCGCCACGGCCGGCAGACUCCGCGCCGCGUUCCGCCACGGCCGGAAGACGGCGUGGAAGCGUACGAAGUCGCGAGCGUCGUGCAGGCGGCCGGAGACGUCGAGGAGCAGGUCCGUCGCGAGAAAGGCCCAGGGCUUGGUAGCCUGGGACAAGUCCACGGCGACGACGGACUCCAUCGAUCCAACAGUUACGACUUACGAGGAUGCAAGUGAAUCGAUUGCGACCACAUAGUUGAAAACAUAGUCGAGGAAGCUUGACUUGUAGACGCGCCAGGACUCCUAGUCCUAUUCCUAUCUUGAAUCAAACUUGUUUUUCGAAUUAAAGUACUAGUAUAUAAUUUAUAUUUAAUGUUAUUUUAAGAUCCUAGGUUAAUCAAACUGGAUCGGUGGCGAGGCUACGUGUAACUUGUGGUCAACUGACCCCACAGGUUUUCAGAAUUUUUGCAGAAAUACACUGAUUUAUUAUAGAAUAAUAACCCCACAACUUGAUCGAAAGUCGAAACAAGAUUUCACCCUGAUUUAUGUAUAAAACAACAACCGAACAAUGUGAUGAGAGGCAUCCCCUCUUAAAAAGCUGACCCUAAGGUAACUGGAUCAAGUAACAUGCACGUGACUACGCGCUCAAAAAAUAACAUAAGAUAACAUGCACGUGACUCCAGAGUACAACACCUGCUACGUCCUAGAACACCUAAGCUCCCUGACAACCCCCUCAAGAGGAAGAACAUCGCAAAGCGUUGAUGCUACCGAGCUCAUCGAACCAAAGUUUUUAUCCAGAAUCAAGACAGAGAGAGGAGCAUCACGACGACAUCUUCAAAAAGAAAGCGACAGAGCUUUCGAUAGGCACCUAACUAGGCUCCGCCGCCAUGCAUCGACACUAACUAGGCUUCGCCCCGUUCCUCGAGCCGACGGCGGCAAGGGGAGGGAAGGGUGGGUUGGGAGGUGAUCCGGCGGUGGCUAGGGUUCGUCUUCUCAGUCGCUCGCUGGAGUGAGGCGAGAGGGGAUCUUUUCUCUUCAACCAAAAGAGGAAAACUUACACCUGUUUAGGAAAUCAAAAUAAUGCUCUAUCCAUUCCUAAAUAAUGGUCAUUUUAGAGAUUACACAACGACCUACAUAUAGAUAUAGAUGUAUAUAGACAUAAUUUAGAGUGUAAGUUCAUUCAUUUUGCUCUGUAUGUAGUCCGUAAUUAAAUCUUUAAAAUGAAAAUUAUUUAGAAACAGAGGGAGUAUUUAAACUAUUCAAGGAUCAUUUAAGUUCUCUUCAAUUCGUUUUAAAAUAAAAGAAAAUUUAUCAUUUUAGGGAAAUUAAAUGAAUAUCUAUACACAUUUAUUUUUUAAUAAGUUCUUUUUCAGAUACAAGAGAUGAGGUAUGCAUCCACGUGGUGUACAAGUCCUACGUUACAGCUUCCAAAUUAGUUGAAAUUCUAGCAUGAUGUCAACUUGCACCUUUUAGAGUUUGAUUAAUAAAAAUUGCAUAAUUUACUAAUGGGAAAAAGCUAUGGAGUCUUUGUCUCUCACUUAUUUUGAAGUGUAUAAAAUUUGCGAUUGCUUCAUUAAAUGUAAAAGUUACUGUAUAAAAUUUGUGAUUGCUUCACUAAAUGUAAAAGUUACUGUAUUACAAUCUAAUUUAAGAUGCACAAAAUACUGUCUCCACUUUUUGGGUAAGUAUAUUGUUUAUUUAAAGUUCUAAUGAUAUUUUGGUGAUUUAAAUUGGAUUCGAAACUCCUUAUCAAUUUCUUUAAGGAAUUUACAUACGAUUUCCACACAAAAAAGGAGAAGGAAUCUACAGAGGAAAAUGAGAGCCAACGUAAUAUAAAAUCAAAUCAUAUUUCAAAAGAUUUUAAACAAAAGAUUUCAAGAUUUGCAUUGUAAUAUAAACACUGUAUGUCUCAGCGGUAUAAACAGUAUUAAAAGGCACUGAAAAAUUUAAGCACGCUAUACCGCCGCUAAUAGCACGUUAUAGCGUAUAAAGAAUUGACUCGUUAAAUUAAUCAGUGUACAAAGUCUCGCUAAUAGCACGCUAUAACGCGUUAUAUCAUGCAAAAAGCAUCUCCAACAACGGUGCCAAAAAACGCGCGCGAGGUAAACUGCGAUUUUAGCGCGUGCGGGAUGGAAAGCGCGCUCCAGCGGAGGCAAGAAAUUAGCGCGUGCUGCAAACGAUUACGCGCGCGGAAGAAAGGGGCGGCCGCGCGCUUGAUUUGGUGCGCCGAAAAAUGCGGCGCUCACCACGUGGUUGCCCAUCGCCCUCAUCACUACCACGCGCGCUCUACCGCUUCCUCGCGCUGCCUCUGUCGCCCCGCCACCGACGCGCCCCCACCGAGCCACUAUGUCGCUGUUGGAAAUAUACCCUAGAGGCAAUAGUAAAGUUGUUAUUAUUAUAUUUCCUAGUUCAUGAUAAUUGUAUAUUAUUCAUGCUAUAAUUGUAUUAACCGGAAACCGUAAUGCAUGUGUGAAUAUAUAGAUCACAAUGUGUCCCUAGUGAGCUUCUAGUUGACUAGCUCGUUGAUCAAUAGUUGAUCAUGGUUUCCUGAUCAUGGACAUCGAAUUUCAUUGAUAACGGGAUCACAUCAUUGAAGAAUGAUGUGAUGGACAAGACCCAAUCCUAAGCAUAGCACUAGAUCGUAUUGUUCGUCUACUAAAGCUUUUCUAAUGUGAAGCAUCAUUUUCUUAGACCAUGAGAUUGUGCAACUUCUGGAUACCGUAGGAGUGCUUUGGUGUAUCAAACGUAACAACGUAACUGGGUGAUUAUAAAGGUGCACUACGGGUAUCUCUGAAAGUGUCUGUUGGGUUAUACGAAUCGUGACUGGGAUUUGUCAUUCCAUGUGACGGAGAGGUAUAUCUGGGCCCACUCGGUAAUCCAUCAUCAUAAUGAGCUCAAUGUGACUAAGGAGUUAGCCACGGGGUGAUAUGUUACAGAACGAGUAAAGAGACUUGCCGUAACGAGAUUGAACAAGGUAUAGGGAUACCGACGAUCGAAUCUCGGGCAUGUAUCAUACCGGUAGACAAAGGGAAUUGCAUAUGGGAUUGAUCGAAUCCCUAACAUCGUGGUUCAUCCGAUGAGCUCAUCGUGGAACAUGUGGGAACCAACAUGGAUAUCCAGACCCUGUUGUUGGUUAUUGGAGGAAGAGGUGUAUCGGUCAUGUCUGCAUGCUUCCCGAACCCGUAGGGUCUACACACUUAAGGUUCGAUGACGCUCGGGUUAUAUGGAAAUAGUAUGCGUGGUUACCGAAGAUUGUUCGGAGUCCCGAAUAAGAUCCCGGACGUCGCGAGGAGCUCCGGAAUGGUCCGGAGGUAAAGAUUCAUAUAUAGGAAGUGAGGAUUUGAUUGCUGGAAGUGUUUCGGGCAUCACCGAUAAUGUACCGGGACCACCGAAAGGGUUCCGUGGUCCACCGGGAAGGGCCACCAGCCCCUAAGAAGUACAUGGGCCAAAAGUGGAUGGGAACCAGUCCAUAAGUGGGCUGGUGCGCCACCACCAUCAGCCCAAGGCGCAAGAGAGAGGGUGGUGGGCUAACCCUAGGCGUGGUGGGCUAGCCCACCCUAGGGCGCCACCUCCUCCACCCCUUGGCCGCCGCCCCUUGCCCUGGAUGGGCUGUUGCACCCCUUAGGGUGGAAAACCUAAGGAUGGGCACCCUCCUCCCUCUCCUCCUAUAUAUAGUGGAGGGUUUGGGGUUUUUUUUGAGACACAAUCUCUCUCUCUCUCGGCGCAACCCUCCUCCUCCUCCUCCUAGUGCUUGGCAAAGCCCUGUCGGAGUGCCACGUAGCUCCACCGUCACCACACCGUCGUGUUGCCGGAGCUCCCCCUCAACCUCUCCUCCUUCCUUGGUGGAUCAAGGCAUUGGAGACGUCACCGGGUUGCACGUGUGUUGAACGCGGAGUCGCCAUUGUUCGGUGCAUAGAUCGGAAUCCACUGUGAUCUGAAUCGCUGCGAGUACGACUCCAUCAACCGCGUUCUAGCAACGCUUCCGCUUAGCGAUCUUCAAAGGUAUGAAGAUGCUCUACCCCUUUGCUCAUUGCUGGUUUCUCCAUAGAUAGAUUCUUGUCUGAUGUAGGAAUUUUUUUAAAAUUACUACGUUCCCCAACAGCCGUCGUGCCGCCGUGGAUCUUCGGGCUACCGUGGCGUCCGCGAGCGCCCCUCCGGCGCCUACUAUGUCGAGGUCCGGUCCGACGACGUCCGCCUCGGCGUCGGCACGUUCGAGACCUCGCACGAGGCCGCCCGCGCGUACGACACGGCGGUGUGGCGCCUAGGGAGGCCUCACGCGCAGAUGAAUUUCCAGGACGUCUACACGCGCGAGAAGGCGUAGGACCUCGCCCCUCCGCCUCGUCUGAUAAUAGACUAGGACCGUGUGGAGCACCGUCGACGGUAGCGCCGCCUCCUCGUCGUCGAGGAGGAUGAGCGAGCCAUGGCGGAGUACGUCAUCCAGAGGACGUCGUCGCUGAGAACGNNNNNNNNNNNNNNNNNNNNNNNNNNNNNNNNNNNNNNNNNNNNNNNNNNNNNNNNNNNNNNNNNNNNNNNNNNNNNNNNNNNNNNNNNNNNNNNNNNNNCAUAGUAAUGAUUGAUGUAACCGGUGGGGCUGAGGUGCUUCUGAGGGCCAACGGCGGCGCGGAGGAGGACCAGGUCGUCCUCGGCGGCGAUGACCAAGGGAGUAUUGGUGAACUCGCGGGGUUCCACCCCAUUGGAGUGGACCGUGAAGCAGGAGACGCGCGGCGGGUGGGCNNNNNNNNNNNNNNNNNNNNNNNNNNNNNNNNNNNNNNNNNNNNNNNNNNNNNNNNNNNNNNNNNNNNNNNNNNNNNNNNNNNNNNNNNNNNNNNNNNNNNNNNNNNNNNNNNNNNNNNNNNNNNNNNNNNNNNNNNNNNNNNNNNNNNNNNNNNNNNNNNNNNNNNNNNNNNNNNNNNNNNNNNNNNNNNNNNNNNNNNNNUGGGUAGGCGACCGGACGUCCUCCACUUCCUGGUCGUCGUCAUCGUCCUCCUCGUCAUCAUCGUCCGAGUAGUAGGAGGAGGAGGAGGAGGAGUACUCGUCCUCCUCCGUCGGGAUCUCGUCGUCGUUGAUUCUGAGAGACGAGAGGUCGAAUCCCUUCUUUCCCAAUCUCUUAUCCUCCAUAGCGAUCGGGCGAGGAACUGUAGAUGUACAGUGGCUCAAUGGAAUUAUUUCGUUGAUACUCCACAGCAAUUGGGCUCGUAAUUGAAGAGUGCGAAUCAAGGGAGCGGUGGCGAUCUAGGCUUGGCUGAUUAGGUUAUUAGAUGAUUGGGUCUCGUGGCGGUAGAAAUAGCGAAAACCCCUAACCCGAGCGCAAAGAGGUUUCCGAGGCCAUCUCCAAUUCGGUCCAUCUAAACAGACACUCAAAAUCUUCACGGACAGACUUUUUUUUAGCAGAGUACAUCCAUCCCUAUAAACACACGCCCGCACACUAUAUCCUUAUAAGCAUCUUUAAAAGACUAAGCCGACAUAUUAUCUUGAGAUUAACGAAGUCGUCACUCACACCUUCGUUGUCGACGGAAAUGUCUCGUCCCACUGAAAACACAUCGUCGGAGGACCUGGAAUAAAUCCAUAAANNNNNNNNNNNNNNNNNNNNNNNNNNNNNNNNNNNNNNNNNNNNNNNNNNNNNNNNNNNNNNNNNNNNNNNNNNNNNNNNNNNNNNNNNNNNNNNNNNNNGUUAAUUUUAAUUAAAAACUAUGUUUAUUAAAAUUCGUUUUGCAUAUUUAAGAAUUUGGCAAAACUAUGAUAAUGAAAAGUGUUUGAAAUUGAAUAAAUAAUGCAAAACUAUUUUCUAUUUUCAAAAGUAAUUAUUUUGACUAUCCAAACUAUUAACUAUUUUGUUAUUUUCAAUUAAAACUAUGUUUAUUAAAAUCCUUUUUGCAUAUUUGAGAAUUUGACAAAACUAUGAUAAUGAAAAGUGUUUGAAAUUGAAUAAAUAACGCAAAAAUAUUUUCUAUUUUCAAAAGUAAUUAUUUUGACUAUCCAAACUAUUAACUAUUUUGUUAAUUUUAAUUAAAAACUAUGUUUAUUAAAAUUCGUUUUGCAUAUUUAAGAAUUUGGCAAAACUAUGAUAAUGAAAAGUGUUUGAAAUUGAAUAAAUAAUGCAAAACUAUUUUCUAUUUUCAAAAGUAAUUAUUUUGACUAUCCAAACUAUUAACUAUUUUGUUAUUUUCAAUUAAAACUAUGUUUAUUAAAAUCCUUUUUGCAUAUUUGAGAAUUUGACAAAACUAUGAUAAUGAAAAGUGUUUGAAAUUGAAUAAAUAACGCAAAAAUAUUUUCUAUUUUCAAAAGUAAUUAUUUUGACUAUCCAAACUAUUAACUAUUUUGUUAAUUUUAAUUAAAAACUAUGUUUAUUAAAAUUCGUUUUGCAUAUUUAAGAAUUUGGCAAAACUAUGAUAAUGAAAAGUGUUUGAAAUUGAAUAAAUAAUGCAAAACUAUUUUCUAUUUUCAAAAGUAAUUAUUUUGACUAUCCAAACUAUUAACUAUUUUGUUAUUUUCAAUUAAAACUAUGUUUAUUAAAAUCCUUUUUGCAUAUUUGAGAAUUUGACAAAACUAUGAUAAUGAAAAGUGUUUGAAAUUGAAUAAAUAACGCAAAAAUAUUUUCUAUUUUCAAAAGUAAUUAUUUUGACUAUCCAAACUAUUAACUAUUUUGUUAUUUUCAAUUAAAACUAUGUUUAUUAAAAUCCUUUUUGCAUAUUUGAGAAUUUGACAAAACUAUGAUAAUGAAAAGUGUUUGAAAUUGAAUAAAUAACGCAAAAAUAUUUUCUAUUUUCAAAAGUAAUUAUUUUGACUAUCCAAACUAUUAACUAUUUUGUUAUUUUCAAUUAAAACUAUGUUUAUUAAAAUCCUUUUUGCAUAUUUGAGAAUUUGACAAAACUAUGAUAAUGAAAAGUGUUUGAAAUUGAAUAAAUAACGCAAAAAUAUUUUCUAUUUUCAAAAGUAAUUAUUUUGACUAUCUAACUUCAUACGUUUUGUGUGUUCAAAAUGCACGAUUCAAAGGCACAUCUCAAAAUUUCAACAAUUUCUGACUUCAUUUCGUAUUCUUCGUGCAUUUUUUUUUGAGCUAGUUGACCCUGAAAUUGAAAAGCACUACAAAUGAACUCUGAAAAUGUUGAAAGUUGGCAUGCUAUCAUCAUUUCACCCACAUAGCAUGUGUUAAAAAGUUGAGAGGGCUACGACAAAAACUGGAUGCACUUCGUGUACAAAACGGACAAUCUCUCUCGAAGUAUCAGCGUUUCAAACGAGAACUCAUCUCUUACAAAGGGAUUUCAUUUUUUUUGAACUUAUUUGAACUCCAUACUUUUUGUGUGUUCAAAAUGCACCAUUCAAAGGCACAUCAUAAAAUUUCAACAAUUUCUGACUUCAUUUGGUAUUCUUCGUGCAUUUACUUNNNNNNNNNNNNNNNNNNNNNNNNNNNNNNNNNNNNNNNNNNNNNNNNNNNNNNNNNNNNNNNNNNNNNNNNNNNNNNNNNNNNNNNNNNNNNNNNNNNNCCUUCUGGGCGAAGAGGACGGCAAGGCGUCGCGAGGAGCGGGAUGACACGCGUCGAUGCAAGGCACUAGCCAUAUCGCAAUGCGAGGUCGUCAACAACGAGGGGACGUCGUUUUUCAGGAGUGACGAUGAACAUUGGGAUGAUAUUUGGCUCGAUACCUCGGACACCGAGGAUGAUGAUGAGGAGGAGGACGACGACAGGGAGUAGGUUCUAGUAGUUGCACCGUAGUUUCUUUAUCUAUCCAUGUGAUGUAUCGUUUUAUCUAUGUAUUGUGAAAUAUCUAUGUAUCGUUUUAUCUAUCUAUCUAUGAAAUAUUUAUGUAUUGUGCGAGAGCGCGCGUUGCAUUUUAACGCCUGCUGGAGCUAGGCGCGCGCUGUAUUUUAUAGCGCCGCUGGAGUCAGUGCUGGCCGCCGUGCCAAAACAAACGAACAGCACACCGCAAGCUCAUUUUUAGUGCGACGCGUGUUGGAUGGCUGUUGGAGAUGCUCUAAUAGCAUCUUUUUAGGGGCACGCUAUUUUAUAUAGCCCGUAAUUUUUUUCCUUUAGAGCAUCUCUAGUAGAACCCUCAAACCCUUAAAUGUAAAAUCAGUUUUAAGGGUUGAGAAUUGCCUAGUUUUGACACUUUUAAGGGUUGAAAAACAGGGGCAAAGACUAGAACCCUCAAACCCAACCCUUAUAACGGAAUAUUCCGUUAUAAGGGUUGGGUUUGAGGGUUCUAGUCUUUGCCCCAACCCCAAACCUUAAAACUGUCAUUUCAUAUAUCAACAUUUCAUCACAUUUCAUCAUAUGACAUAUCACAAAUUCAAUCAUAUUUGACAUAAAACAAUAAUCAUUCUAGUUAUUAUUACAACACCGAAUAAAACAAUAAUCAUUCAAAUUAUUACAACAAUGUUUGAGCAAAUUACAACAUAAAACAUUGUUUGAGCAAAUUACAACAAUUGUUCGAAUCAAAUAGGACAUAGAAAAGUAAAACAAAGAUACAUCAUGGGCCAAUACGCCGCCCAUCCAACUGCUAAUGGUGCUCUACUAGAUCAUCCCGGAGACGACCAUGAGUGGUUGCAUCCUCAAUCUCACGAUGUGCUUGAAGAAAGGCGUGUAUGCGAGAAGGGUUUCUUUCCGGUUGCACACGGGUACCAACAUUGUCAUAGAAACAAGGGAGGUUUAACCAUCUCUCAUCCUCUAGGAUCAUGUUGUGUAGAAUCACACAACAUUUCAUGAUGUUCACCAAGGUUUUUUGUCCCAAAACCGAGCUGGACCCCGAACUAUGGCAAACCUUGCUUGUAAAACACCAAAAGCUCUCUCAAUAUCUUUGCGGGCUUCCUCUUGUGCCUUGGUGAAAUGAGCCUCUUUUCUUGUUAAGGGCACCCCAUUUUUCUCCUUGAUGGACUUCACAAGAGUUGCCCAUUCGGGAUAGAUGCCAUCGGUGAGAUAGUAUCCCAUUGAAUACUCAUUGUUCAUGAUUUUGUAGUUGCAAGCUGGAGCAUCCCCAGAAAUUAAUCUUUUGAACAAUGGAGAUCUAUUGAGGACAUUGAUAUCAUUGGGUGUUUCCGGCAACCCAAAGAAUGCACGCCAAAUCCAUGUGUCCUCCGAUGCUACAGCCUCAAGCACAAUGGUAGCAUCACGGCUUUUACCGCAAUACAUUCUGUGCCAUGCCUUUGGGCAAUUUUUCCACCUCCAAUGCAUGCAAUCAAGACUACCAAGCAUCCCCGGCCAUCUCCUUUUUUCAUUCAUUUCCAUUAAUCUCUUUGUAUCUUCCUCGUUUGGUGCCCGAAGAUACUUCUCACCAUACAAACGGAUGACCAACUUGGCAAACCUACGGACGGCCUCCGUGGUUGUAUCUUCCCCAAUGCGAAGAUACUCGUCGGUAUAAUCCGCGGGUAUGCCAUAAGCGAGUACCCGCAUUGCCGCCAAUAUCUUUUGAUAUGCACUAAACCCCAUGAUACCGGCGGCGGAUCUACGACGUUUAAAGUAAUAGGAGGCAACCUCACAAUCGUUGACAAUCUUCACAAACAAACUACGACGCAUUCGGUACCUUCUGCGAAAGAGACGAUGAGGGUAUGUAGGUACCUCCGCGAAGUAGUCUUGCAUCAAAUGCUCGUGUCCGAGAGCACGGUUCCUGAUGGGGUCAUAGUCCUAGGGUAGGGUCAUAGGCCUGCCCUACAUGUCCUACCCAAGGACUACCCCACACGAGGGACAGGACCUUAAGUAUGCCCCGACUGAAUUAAGGUGCCCCCAUCAUCCAGUCGGUAACAGGCCCAGAAUCAUCCAGUCGGAGACUAACAUUCGGAGAGCAACGGGCCUACCGACUGGAUACACUCGGUACGUCGUAACCUCUCUGGAGGGUAACUGUUGUACGUUUCCGGGUGCAUUUACUAGCAUUUAGAGCAUACGUUACCUGUAACGUAUGCAUUCAAUCGCCACUACUCCACCCCUGAAUCAGAACCGUUGUGGAGGGCAGCGCACUCUAUAUAAGCCGCCCUCCCCCACUGUUAAAGGGGUUAGCAAUCUUUGUACUCCAUAUCACACUCGGUAACAAGCUCCGAAAGCACUGAGACGUAGGGCUGUUACCUCCACCGCAGAGGGGCCUGAACUCAUACAACCUCGCCGUAGCUAGGGCUCUGCCCAUCUCAUUCGUACCCUACACAUCUACUGUCAGUCUUACACCCACGACAGUUGGCGCCCACCGUGGGGCAGGCGUCUAAGCGACUUCCGGCGAGUUUGCGACUACUUCCUUUCGUCAUGUCGUCCGGUGGAGAUUCGAGCAUGGGUCACCAGAUCCUCUUCAGCGCUCUCUCCUUCAUCGUCGACGGUUCGGCGUGGCUUCGGGAAGCACCUCUCGACGUCGAGGCUCUUCCCCGUCACGGGGCCAUGCACUUCCGUGUCGGCGCUCGCGGCGUUCUCCUUCUCCAACAAUCGGCUCCAUUGCCGGCUUGCACCUUCGUCACGCGCCACAGCAAGCGGUCUCGCAGUCCACGUCUCCAACGUUGGGUGCAGCAUGCCCGAGCGCGUCAGUUCGCGUCCUCUCAAGUGGCGGUUCUGGAGUCUGUCGUGGUUGCCCAGUGCUCGGGCUCGGUUCCGACUGAGCUUCCUUCCGAGUACGUGGGCCCCGGACCUGCAGCAGAAGUUCACAUGGCCAACACCCAUGAAGAUCCUCAUCAGGCCGGCCGGAACGAGCGCGAAGUCGGUGAAGCUUCCGGUGCACGCCGUCCGCCUCGCCGUUCUGCCAGUCGGCACACCUGGCAGAGCAACGUGGAGUUGUUCCGCACACCUCUCCUCAACUUGGCUGCAGCAGCCAAGAUCGCCGAUUCCCUCCAGCCGACUGAUUCAGAGGCAGGAAGGGGAAUCGAGCAGAUCCGUGCUCUGUUGCACACGGCGCAGCAGCAGAAUUCGGCAGUCUCCCAGUCGCACAAUCGGAUCCACAAUAGUUCCGUCCAUGCAAACACGCAUCGGUCGGUUCACAACCCUGGCUCCUAUCAGCACCACAGGGGAGGCAGUCGUUCCAUGGUCCGCGAAGAUCGCCGCCGUUCGCGCACCCCUCCGCGGGGUGGGCCCUAUGGGUCCCGACAUCAUGAUGAUCGGCGUUCAGUCGGCGACACUUAUGACCCGAGACCCGACGCAAGAGGGCGAAUCGCCCAGCGAAGAAUCGACAGGGGUCGAGCCCACCGCGAUGGCCACGAUCUGGAUCGUCUGAGUGGCAACAGGACCAUCGUGUCCGGCCCCGAGUGUUUUAGUCGAGCCAUCUGCUCGGCUGACAUCCCGCCCAACUUCCGAUUGGCAGCGGGAAUCGGUAAAUUUACGGGGGAAUCCAAGCCUGAAACAUGGCUAGACGACUACCGAGUGGCAGUCCAGAUUGGAGGAGGGGACGACCAUGUCGCUAUGAAGCACCUCCCUCUGAUGCUCGACGGCUCGGCACGAGCUUGGCUGAACCAGUUGCCCCCCUCAAGCAUUUACAGUUGGGCAGAUCUGGCCCGAGUGUUCAUCAGGACUUUCGAAGGGACGUGCAAACGCUCUGCAGGCCUUGUGGAGCUUGAACACUGUGUCCAGAAGCCGAAUGAGCCCUUGCGCGACUUCAUCCAGUGAUGGACAACUCUCUACCACACGGUGGAGAACGUCACCGAGCAUCAAGCAGUCUGCGCAUUCAAGGCAGGCAUUCGGUACAGAGAGCUGUACCUAAAGUUCGGCCGGACGGGCGACAUCUCCAUGAGAAAGAUGAUGGAGAUAGAUGCUCGCUAUGCAAAUGGCGAGGAAGAAGACCGCAUCCGGAGUGGCAAACACAAGACAGUCGGCGAUGCCGACGGAGGUAACACUCGGAAGCAGAAACAGAAAGUUCCACCCACACCGCAGGCACAAGCUGCAGCUGUGACCAGCGCCAAGUUCAAGGGCAAAGGGAAAGCGCCGUCUGCCCCCAAGAAGAAGCCGUUCAACAAUCCCAUCCUGGAUCAGCCUUGUCCAAUUCACACGAAGAUGGACGAAGAAGGCAACCCCAUAUACGCGAAGCAUACCACUCGGCAGUGUCGUCUCCUGAUCCAGGGGUUCAACGAAGGACAACCGAGUGAGAAGAAUCCUGAACAAGAUGAGGAGGAUAAGGAGGAUCCGUUCCCCCAAGUCCAUGCAACCCUCAUGAUUUUUGCUGACGUCGAAAGCAAGAGUCGACUGAAGCUGGUGAACAGAGAGGUCAACAUGGCCGUUCCGACUGCUCCCAAGUUCCUUAGAUGGUCUCAGACUGCGAUCACCUUUGAUCAGUCGAACCAUCCAACGCAUGUCCCCACUCCAGGAAGACAGGCUCUGGUCGUCGACCCGGUGGUGGAAGGAGUCCGACUGCGCAAAGUCCUCAUGGACGGCGGUAGCGGACUGAACAUCAUGUACGCCGACACCCUCAAGGGAAUGGGCAUUCCGAUGUCCAGACUCAGCAAGAGCAAUAUGCAGUUCCACGGAGUCGUCCCCGGGCGGAAGGCCAAGUCACUCGGCCAGAUCGCGUUGGACGUUACUUUCGGCUCCGACAAAAACUUUCGCAAGGAGAAGCUCACAUUCGAGGUGGUGGAUUUCCAGAGCGCUUACCAUGCAAUUCAGGGCCGUCCGGCGUACGUGAGUCUCAUGGCAUGCCCGUGCUAUGUGUACUUGAAGUUGAAGAUGCCAGGUCCAAAAGGCGUUAUCACCAUCACCGGCAACCGUCAGCGAGCCGAGGAGUGUCUGCAAGAGGGAUCAAGAAUCGCCGACCAGCAGAUGGCUGUACUCGAGCUCGAAGAGUACAAGAAGACAGUCGACCCUGCCGACUUAACGCGCUCAAAGAAGCCAGCUUCUGAGUCCGCGUUCCAGUCGGCGGGAGAGACUAAGAAGGUCAGCAUCCACCCGACGGACGAGUCUGCCGCCCCGACGAACAUCUCCACCACCCUCGAUCCUAAAUAGGAAGCCGAGCUCACCCAAUUCCUCCGUGAGAACUGGGACAUCUUCGCAUGGAAACCUUCUGACAUGUCGGGUGUACCCAGGGAGUUGGCUGAGCACCGACUGCAUGUGGAUCCCGUCGCUCGGCCCGUCCGAGAGCGCCUGCGUCGGUCCGCCGCGCACAAGAGGAAGGCAAUCGGAGAAGAGGUGGCCAAGCUGCUGGCUGCCAAUUUCAUUCGCGAGGUUCACCACUCCGAGUGGCUCGCCAAUGUCGUCAUGGUGCCCAAGAAGGACAAGUCACUCCGAAUGUGCAUUGACUUCAAGCACCUCAAUAAGGUCUGCCCGAAAGACCAUUUUCGGCUCCCCCGCAUAGAUCAAAUUGUCGAUUCGACUGCGGGAUGCGAGCGUUUGUCAUUCCUUGAUGCCUACUCGGGAUAUCAUCAGAUCCGUCUGUAUGGUCCUGAUGAGUUGAAAACGGCCUUCAUCACCCCGUUUGGGUGCUUCUGCUACAUCACUAUGCCUUUCGGUCUGAAGAAUGCGGGAGCUACCUUUAUGCGCAUGAUCCAAAAAUGUCUCCUCGACCAGAUCGGUCGCAAUGUGGAGGCAUACAUGGAUGAUAUCGUAGUCAAGUCACGCAAAGGUUCCGACCUGCUGACUGACUUGGCAGAAACAUUCGCCAACCUUCGUAGGUACGAUAUCAAACUAAACCCAGCCAAAUGUUCAUUCGGUGUUCCCAGCGGAAAGUUACUCGGUUUCUUCGUUUCCGAACGAGGGAUCGAUGUUAACCCCGAAAAGAUCGGGACCAUCGUCCGAAUGGAGAGACCGGUCAGAAUACACGAUGUUCAACGGCUCACAGGUUGCCUAGCGGCUUUGAGCAGGUUCAUGAGUCGACUCGGCGAAAAAGCACUUCCUCUGUACCGACUCAUGAAGAAGUCAGAUACCUUCGAGUGGACAGACGAAGCCCAAGUCGCAUUCGACGACCUCAAAGUCCUACUUUCCACCCAGCCGGUUCUUACUGCUCCGCUCAGUAAAGAGCCCCUUCUUCUAUAUAUCGCGGCUACAAAUCAAGUCGUCAGUACUGUUCUUACAGUCGAGCGAGAAGAAGAAGGCAAAGCAUACAAAGUUCAGCGGCCAGUGUACUACGUCUCCGAAGUCCUGACCCCUUCCAAGCAGAGGUAUCCCCAUUAUCAAAAACUUAUCUAUGGGAUCUAUAUGACUGCAAAGAAGGUGGCCCAUUAUUUCCAAGACCACUCGGUAUGUGUCAUUUCUGAUGCUCCGUUGUCGGAAAUUCUCCACAAUCGGGACGCAUCGGGCCGAGUGGCGAAGUGGGCGAUGGAGAUGCUGUACUGCGACAUCAAGUUCGAGGCCAAGAAAGCUAUUAAGUCUCAAGCCCUGGCUGACUUUAUAGCAGAAUGGGUAGAACAACAGCAACCGACUCACAUCUACUCGGCUCAUUGGACAAUGUUCUUCGAUGGGUCUAAGAUGUUGAAUGGAUCCGGCGCUGGUGUUGUGAUCAUAUCGCCAAAGGGUGACAAGCUCAAGUACGUGCUUCAGAUACACUUUGAUUCCUCUAACGACGAGGCAGAGUAUGAAGCUCUUCUCUAUGGAUUGCGCAUGGCCAUCUCACUCCGCGUCCGUCGCCUGAUGGUCUACGGCGAUUCGGACUUGGUGGUCAACCAAGUGAUGAAAGAGUGGGACGUAAGGAACCCCACCAUGACAACAUACUGCAAUGUAGUCAGGAAGCUGGAGAAGAAGUUUGAAGGCCUAGAACUUCAUCAUGUUCCAAGACUGAAGAACCAAGCAGCUGACGAGUUGGCGAAACUCGGAUCCACUCGGAGACCAGUCCUGAGUGAUGUCUGUCUUGAGCACCUCCAUCUUCCUUCAGUCAAAGAAGAUCCCUUCACGGAAGAACCGGUACAACCCAAGAGCACAAUAGAUCCGACUGAAGUCGAUGUGCCUGCUGUGGUUGAUCUGGUCACAGAGAUUCUGGUAAUCAUUCCCGAUUGGACUGUGCCGAUCAUGGCAUAUAUCCUGAGACAAGAACUUCCAGAAGAUGAAGUCCAAGCCCGGCAAAUAGUUCGCAGGUCGAAGGCAUUCACUGUCAUUGACGAUCAAUUGUACAAGGAGAGUGUUUCAGGCGUCCUCCAACGUUGCAUUUCCCCAGAGGAAGGACAGUUGAUCCUAGAGGAUAUCCACUCGGGAACCUGCGGCCAUCAUGCUUCUUCGAGAGCAAUCGUCGCCAAGGCGUUCAGAGCUGGAUUCUUCUGGCUGCAGGCUAACGAGAUGGCCAAAGCUAUGGUCGACCGAUGUGAAGGCUGUCAGUUCUACUCCAACAAGUCCCGCAAGCCAACAUCUGCACUAAAGACAAUCCCACUUGUGUGGCCAUUUGCAGUUUGGGGAUUAGACACAGUCGGACCAUUCAAGACAGGCCAAGGAGGCUACACACAUCUGUUGGUGGCAGUCGACAAGUUUACAAAAUGGAUAGAAGCCAAGCCCAUCAAAAAACUCGACGCCUCCACAGCCGUUAAGUUUGUCAGGGACAUCAUCUCCAGAUUCGGAGUGCCUCACAGCAUAAUCAUGGACAAUGGGACAAACUUCGACUCGGACAGAUUCAAAAGUUUCUGUGCGAGUCAGGGUAUCCGAGUGGAUUUUGCUUCCGUAGCACAUCCGCAAUCCAAUGGACAAGCUGAGCGUGCGAAUGGACUUAUCCUUCAAGGUUUGAAGCCUCGACUCUUGCGAGAGGUAGGACAUGCUGCUGGUGCAUGGGUCACCGAGUUACCUUCAGUGCUUUGGGGCCUCCGCACCACUCCAAACCGAUCAACGGGGCGAUCGCCGUUCUUCGUCGUCUAUGGAGCAGAAGCGGUCCUUCCGAGUGACCUGCUUCAUAAUGCCCCGCGAGUCGAACUCUUCUCCGAAGCUGAAGCGGAACAAGCAAGGCAAGAUGGAGUCGAUCUUCUGGAGGAGGAACGCGAGAUGGCGCUCACUCGUUCAACAAUUUACCAACAAGAUCUGCGACGCUUUCAUGCGCGUCAUGUCAGGAGCCGCACGUUCCAAGCAGGAGAUUUAGUGCUCCGAGUGGAUCAGCAAAGACCCCAAAAGUUGGCUCCGGCCUGGGAGGGGCCUUUCAUCGUCUCCAAGGUGCUGAACAACGGAGCAUACAGACUAUACAACAUUCAGAGGGAGACAGACGAGCCGCGUGCAUGGAACAGAGAUCUCCUCAAGCGUUUUUAUACGUGAUCGUCGACUGAAGCAGUGUAACAAACAAGUUUUGAUGAAAUAAUAUACAGCAGAUUUAGUUUUUUGCAGAUUCAGAGUGCUUCCACGGUUGCAGACUACGGUUACACACACACAAAAAACAUAGCUGCGAUCCCGAAUCGCCUAAGUACUAACCUCCUCCGAGUGUGCACUAUACGUCGCACUCGGGGACUUAGCUGCGAUCCUGAAUCGCUUAAGUACUAACCUCCUCCGAGUGUGCACUAUACGUCGCACUCGGGGACUUAGCUGCGAUCCUGAAUCCCCUAAGUACUAACCUCCUCCGAGUGUGCACUAUACGUCGCACUCGGCGACUUAGCUGCGAUCCUGAAUCGCCUAAGUACUAACCUCCUCCGAGUGUGCACUAUACGUCGCCCUCGGCGACUUAGCUGCGAUCCUGAAUCGCCUAAAUAAUAACCUCCUCCGAGUGGGCACUAUACGUCGCACUCGGCGACUUAGCUGCGAUCCUGAAUCGCCUAAAUAAUAACCUCCUCCGAGUGGGCACUAUACGUCGCACUCGGCGACUUAGCUGCGAUCCUGAAUCGCCUAAAUAAUAACCUCCUCCGAGUGGGCACUAUACGUCGCACUCGGGGACUUAGCUGUGAUCAAGAAUCACCUAAGUAAUAACUUCCUCCAAGUGUGCAAUAUACGUCGCACUCGGGGACUUAGCUGUGAUCAAGAAUCACCUAAGUAAAGGGAUUUCAUUUUUUUGAACUUAUUUGACUUAGCUGCGAUCCUGAAUCGCCUAAGUACUAACCUCCUCCGAGUGUGCACUAUACGAGUGUGCAAUAUACGUCGCACUCGGGGACUUAGCUGUGAUCACGAAUCACCUAAGUAAUAACUCAUUCGAGUGUGCACUACAAGUCCCACUCGGAGACUUAGAUGUGGCCAACAAUCACCUAAGUCUUAAUCUUCUCCGAGUACGCACUAAGUGUUGCACUCGAAACAGCAUUCAAACAAAAGACUAAAGGUUUUCAUUCCGAUUCCACAAGUUUAGCAACGAUAACCGACUCGGUGCAGGUCAAGCUUACCCGCACCGAUUUAAAAGUACGACAGCCAACAGAAGUGGCCAGAGUAUCUUACAGGCAAACACUCGGCAUACCGAGGACAAAGUUUUAUCACGCGUCAGCUGGGCCGGCGCCAGGACUGGAGGGCUCCACAAAAGUGUCCAAGUCGAUUCCAUCCGCGAUGCGGGUAGCAGUCUCAAGGAACGUCUCCAUGAAGUCUUCGAAUCGAAGCUUCUUCGUAUUGGCGACCUUCAAUGUCUUCAGCCUACCUUCCCGCACCUCCUUGCAAUGGACUCGGACCAAGGACAGCGCAACGUCAGCACCGCAACGCGCUGCCGAUUUCUUCCAAGAUUGCACUCGGCCCGGAAUCUCCUCCAGUCGCCCCAACAGAGUCUCCAUCUCCUGCCGCGACUCGUCUUCUGGCCAAAGCUCCUUGUCAAUGCGGCCGAUGACUUCUCUCAGUCGGCCGAUGAAAGGACCUACUUUGCCUACGCGGAUAUGUGCACGGAGCAGAUCCCGGUUGGCGUCAUCGCUGAGUGGCACAUUCUCCUUAAUGGACCGCUCCACAGUCGCCGCUUUAGCUUCAGCGUCGCCGCAAAAAUCUGAAACAAACGGACAAGCAUACAAUAAAAACCGAGUGCACGGCACACGGUACAACCACUCGACAGAACAUACGACUUACCAGCCAGACGAGUCGUCAUCUGCACAGCCCAGUCGUUGACGUACUUCUCCUGAGCUAUGUAUCGUGUGUUCCGAACGGCCAUCUGGUUGUGCAGCUCAGUCCUCUGUUUCUUCAGUCUCUCCACCUCCGCCAUCAACACCCUGUUUGCUUCCAGGGCCUCCUCCAAAGACUUCUCUCGAACUUCCAGCGCGUCUUUCAUGCCGGCCAUGGCGAGCGUUGCAGCUUCCAGUUCACCAGCAUACUGGUUCCUCUCAUCCCUCAGGGCCUCAUAGGUCGUUCCCAUCUCACAAGUUUUCCGCACCAAGAAACAAAGGGUAGUCAGCAAGUUUAUCAAUUCACACGCUAAGUUCUUCAGACCCCUGCCGACGCUAGCAGUCGACAGCGGUCUCGGGGACUACACCCAGUGGGUUCACUAAGAGUGACCCCACUGGCAUGCACCUCAAACAGGCCCGCCCUAUUGAGGUGCACUCGGAAAUACUACUCCUCCGAGACCAAUACUACUCGACCUGCGUGCAACUUACUCUCGGAGACUCUUACCGCAAGAGCGCUCCGACUGCAACAAGAACUCGCACUCGGAAAUCCUGUCUACGGACACAACCAACCUGAAGACAAAAUGUAUAAAGACAACUGUCGGUGCAAGCACUCGACAGAAGUCUCGGGGACUACACCCACUGGGUUCACUCGGAGUGAACCCAUUGCAAAAACAACAGACAACACCAAGUGGGUUACAGAAGAAAAGUAAGUACUUACUAGACUACUUACUCGGAUGUCAUCGCGCAGCUCCAAGCUCCGCUGGUACAAAGCCGCAACGGAGUCAUAAGCCCUCUUGGCCUCUCCGGCCAUCAGCUCCGCCUGGACCAUGGCCCCCUUGGCCGCUCCCACCUGCUCCUCUGGGACACACCGAAUGCUGAAUUCAGCAUUCGACGAACCGGGAAUCGUGGGAAGUUCCUGGGGCAUCCCAAGGUUCGCCCCAGUCGGUUCCUCACCCAUCGGCACCGGUUCAGUCGGUGGAGGCACUUCGGUCGGUGGAGCGUCGGCGGCAGGGGCGGCAGCAGGAGGAGCAGCCUCAGGGAUAGGCUCCACGACAGGCUCCACGGCCGGGUCAGCUCUCCCCUGGUCAUCCCCGUCCAGGCAAGUCGCCCCUGACAAGCCGAAUAACACGGCGCUUCAGAAAAAGAAAAGGAUGGCGCAGUCUACAGGAAUAAAAUACCCGACUCUUCCACAACAUACCUGGCUGGGACGAAACGACGUUGUCCGUGUCCAUGGGGUCGUCCCCUUGGCGAGCCGGCGAGGUCGCAGAAGUGGCAACCCUGUCGAGUGAAGUCCAUCCGACUUGUAAAGCAGGAGUUCACUCGGUCAACAGAAAGAGCCGAAAGUUAGAUUCACUUACGUGGAGGUGACGGGGAUGGCCAUCCUCAUCCACGGCAGAGCCUUCCGAGGUUUGGGCCCACUCGGCUUGGACGCCCUGGAGGACUGGCCUGCAGGUUCAGCGGCUGCGUCCCUGGCCCUCUUGGUGCCUCGAACACUCGGUACCGCCGGGGCAGCAGGCGGAGCACUUGACGACGCAGGAGGAGCUGAAGGGACGGCAGGCUCAUGCCGACGCUUACUCCGAUGCUCUGGCCGCGGAGGUGGCGAGUCUGGCUCUUCAUCCUCUUCCUCUUCCUUGCUGUCUUCCUCCUCCGACUCCCCGCUGUCGGAGACGUAUUCGGCGCUCUCCACGCUCCCCUCCUGGCUGCCUUCUUCCUCCUCCUCCUCCGGAUUCCCGUUCGAGACGAGGGAGAACCAGUUGGUCCACGCCUGCAUGAAUUUCAGUCGGAAACAUUAAGCAUCACGAGGAGAUAUAACUAAACGAUUGAAAUAAAGACGAUUCGAUGCACUCGGCUGAUGCCACUCACCUGAUUCGGUGGAGGGUUGUCCGCGCUGUAAGGCGCCACUCUGUGAGCUCCUUUAGGGUUCUCACAAGGACCCGUGAUUUGGAGCACCAACGAGGUCACCUUCUCCUCGAGUAUGCCCACCACGAUGGUCCGAGUGGAAUCCUCGGGUCCUGUGUAGUGCCACAUAGCGUGGUCCCGAGCCUGCAGAGGCUGGAUCCGCCGACCGAUGAAGACUUCCAGCAGGUCUAUACCGGUGACUCCUCUCCUGACAACGUCCACGAGUGCCUCAACCAAAGGCUGGAUAUCGUUCUUCUCGGCCUUGGAGAGCGCGAGUUGUUUGGGCGGAGCGGGACGGUCUAGACUAAACGGAGGCAGCCCAGUCGAUGCAUUCGGACAGGCUAUGUCCUGGCAGUAGAACCACGUCGACUGCCAGUUCCUGACCGACUCGCUCAACUGGAGAGCGGGAUAGCUACUCCGACUCUUCUUCUGAAACCCUAAACCCCCGCAGAGCUGGAGGAGAUGCGUCUUGUCAUCCGACUAACUAAGACGUUUGAUGGUUUGAGAGUGGGCGGAGAAGAUAUGUUUGAAUAAACCCCAAUGGGGGGGGGGCAACCGAUAAAGCACUCGCACAAAACAAUGAAGGCAGAAAGAUGGGCGAUGGCAUUCGGAGGGAAGUGAUGGAGUUGAGCACCAAAAUGAUUCAUGAUGCCUUUGAAGAAGGGAUGCGGAGGCAGAGAGAAACCUCUGUGAACAUGGCUGAGGAGCAAGACGCGCUCCUCCUCCCGUGGCGCCGGCUCGACCUCGUCGUCCGCCGGCAGCCUCCAGGACUUAUGCACGAGCAGGCCGUGCUCUACCAGCUCCAGCAGGUCCCCCUCCGUCACCGUGGAGGGGAGAAAGUCUCCCUGGAUCCACCCCGCCGGCAACGGCCGCUGCCGCCGCUAAGCAGCCGCCGCCUUGUUCUUCUUCUUCCUCGCCUCCAUCUUGCUGGUCUGACCUUUGGUCAUGGAGGCGACGGCGAGCUCUCGAGAAGGAGGAGAAGAGAGGGGUGUAUGAGUGCAGGAGGUGGCGAGGAAGACGGAGCAGGCAAGAGCAAAGGAUUCGGCGAGCGUAACCGAGGAGUCUCGUCGCCCAUAUUUAAAUAGAACACCGACUGGGUCGCUGGCGAGCGGGCCCGAAAUCUUAUCCGCCCAACCGGCCGCGGCGAUAUCAGUGGAGGAGUUGAAGGCGCGGGAAUCGAGGAGUCAGGCGCUAGUCGAGCGCGCUGACGUCGUCCCCGCUGAGCGCGCGGAACCCGAAAUUUGAGAUCCCGGAAAAUCCGCGGCUGUCAGUUGACCGGUUGCAUCAAAAGAUGCCGCGAAAGCACUCGGUUCCCGACAGUCUGUUUCGCAAAACACCUCCACUCGGAUCGUUGGACAGGAGAGAUAAAAUGGAUAGAGGCAAGCAACGCCCAAGCUGAACCUAGUCCAGUCGGAUCUGAACCUCGAGCACUGCUUCAACGUUUCAACCCCAAUCCAUUCGGGGACUAAUGAUGGGGUCAUAGUCCUAGGGUAGGGUCAUAUGCCUGCCCUACAUGUCCUACCCAAAGACUACCCCACACGAGGGACAGGACCUUAAGUAUGCCCCGACUGAAUUAAGGUGCCCCCAUCAUCCAGUCGGUAACAGGCCCAGAAUCAUCCAGUCGGAGACUAACAUUCGGAGAGCAACGGGCCUACCGACUGGAUACACUCGGUACGUCGUAACCUCUCUGGAGGGUAACUGUUGUACGUUUCCGGGUGCAUUUACUAGCAUUUAGAGCAUACAUUACCUGUAACGUAUGCAUUCAAUCGCCACUACUCCACCCCUGAAUCAGAACCGUUGUGGAGGGCAGCGCACUCUAUAUAAGCCGCCCUCCCCCACUGUUAAAGGGGUUAGCAAUCUUUGUACUCCAUAUCACACUCGGUAACAAGCUCCGAAAGCACUGAGACGUAGGGCUGUUACCUCCACCGCAGAGGGGCCUGAACUCAUACAACCUCGCCGUAGCUAGGGCUCUGCCCAUCUCAUUCGUACCCUACACAUCUACUGUCAGGCUUACACCCACGACAGUUCCGGUAGAUGGUGAGUCGCCCCAUCGUCGACCCUCUCCUCUGAUCCAUAAGCUUCACGCGGUCUUCAAACGCUUGCACGUCGACGAGGAGGCUCAUCAUCUCAACGUCGUCGUCUUGCAACAACUCGUCAAUGUCCGAAUCAUCGGAUGACGACCAAUCCGAUGCAUCGGACAACGAGUCCAUGUCGUCGUUGUUCACCUCCAUCUACAAUGUGAGUGGCAACAAUUGUGAGUGCCAAUGAAGCAAAAAUGUAAAAAUGAAGCAAAAAAGCAAAAAUGUAAACCUCAAUCUUCGGUGCUGCGGAGGGCCGGCCGAGGCGGCGGCGCUGGGAGGGGCGGCCGGGACGGGGCGGCGCUGCGGAGGGCCGGCCGGCGGCGGCGGAGGGGAGGUCGGGGCUGCGGUGNNNNNNNNNNNNNNNNNNNNNNNNNNNNNNNNNNNNNNNNNNNNNNNNNNNNNNNNNNNNNNNNNNNNNNNNNNNNNNNNNNNNNNNNNNNNNNNNNNNNNNNNNNNNNNNNNNNNNNNNNNNNNNNNNNNNNNNNNNNNNNNNNNNNNNNNNNNNNNNNNNNNNNNNNNNNNNNNNNNNNNNNNNNNNNNNNNNNNNNNNNNNNNNNNNNNNNNNNNNNNNNNUGCUGCUGCAGGAGCCAAGCCGCCAUUCCCCUGCCUCCUGCUUGCCGUGUGUUGCAUUGCUGCUUGCUCUUGCUGCUGCUGCCAAUGCCUUGCCGUUGCUAUGAUGCUGAUGCUAGCCGUUGUUGUGCUGCCCGUUGCUGGUUGCUUGUUGGCCGAUGCUUGCUAGUGCUUGUUGUGCAUGCUGCCUGUCCCUGUUGUUGCCGAGUGCUGUGCCAUGCCUUGCUGCCGCUGUGGCUUGCCUGCUGUGCUGCUGCCUGACGUACUUGCUGCUGCCAGAUGCUAGUUGCUUUGCUCGGUUGUUUGCUUGCUGUAGAUGAUGUUGCUGUCAGCUUGCCUGCUUGCCGUAGUGUGCCGAUGUAGUUUGCUGUAGUUUCUGUUGUGUCGCGUGCCGUCGCCGCAUGCACCAUCCCCGCCAUCGUGGGUCGUCGACAAGAUCGCCGUGUUCAACUACGUCGUCGAUGACACCCAGAACGUGUUCGAUUACCGACGCUGAAGACCUGUGGCGACGCCAAGAGAACGACUACCGUCGACAAGACUGGAGUACCACGUCUUCCACUACUUCCACAACGAUCGUUGUUCUCCUUCACCGAACCGAACCCCUCCGAUAUGCACGCUUUGAAGCUAUACCGAUGGGACUUUGUCGUGNNNNNNNNNNNNNNNNNNNNNNNNNNNNNNNNNNNNNNNNNNNNNNNNNNNNNNNNNNNNNNNNNNNNNNNNNNNNNNGUUGUAUGAGAUGUAUGUAUGUUUGCGCCUUAUGUUGCCCGUUGCACGUUGUCCCUCUUAUGUUGUGCCCCGACACAUGGGAACCCGGUAGCGGGAUCACCCCAUCUUUAUUUUGCGUUCCCGCACACGCUUCCUAUACGUUGGCACGAUAUCUCGAUGAGUUAUCGGGAUUGGAACGUUGCCGUGGCAUCGUCUCCGUUUUACCGCCAUGGUUCCCUCUCGCUCGCCGUGGCGACAUGUGUUUCUUUCUCUUCUUGCCGUGGUGUUGAUGAUCUUCCAUGCAUGACGCAUUCAUUGCAUAAUAUUUUUGUGUUGCUUGUCUNNNNNNNNNNNNNNNNNNNNNNNNNNNNNNNNNNNNNNNNNNNNNNNNNNNNNNNNNNNNNNNNNNNNNNNNNNNNNNNNNNNNNNNNNNNNNNNNNNNNGGCGGCGACGGGGCGGCGGCGGCGGCGAUUGGACCGAGAGGCGGGGCGGCGUGCGGGGAACGAGCCUGGAGCGACGCGGGGUAGGUCCGGCCCGGGAUAAGUCCCAAUAAGCUCCUCCCUGAGAGUCUUAUUUGAUAAGUCCCAAAUCAUCACAAUAAGUCGCAAUAAGUCCCUUGUGUUUGAUUUAGGUGGGACUUAUAAGGACUUUUUUAAGUCCCUAAAUCAAUAAGUCGCUAGAAACAAACACCCUCUUACUAAACCUGCAGAUCAUUACCAAAACCAUUGUUUUACGACAUAUGGGUAUAUGAUAGCUGUAGAAUGCAAGCCGAACACUUUGGAAGAAAAAAUAAUACUCCCAAAAAGGUCAUGGAGUCCCCAACUAGUAGUAAUAACUUAUCUGACUUGGACACGAUACUGAAAAAGAGAGAUUAGUUUCCCCUGAAAAGGUCAUGGAGUCCCCAACUCCUGAUCUGAUAACUCAAGUACGUACGAUCCAGGAAAGAAUCUAAAGAACGAAUCUGUCCGCUUGCAUCGCUUUCCCUCAACUCGAUGGAGUCCAUCACAGCGCCCUCGUCGGAGUCGAGGAAACCCGCGGCCACCACCCGCCCGUGGGCCUAUCUCUCGCCGGAGCUGCUCGCCGGCGUCUGCGCCAGCGUGCACGACGCCACCGACUUCGUCCGUUUCCACGCCGUCUGCCAGACGUGGCGUGACGCACGGCCGUCGCAGCUCUCACCGCUGGAGACCCGGCCAUCCCAAACGUUCCAGCCAUGGCUCCUCUCGCAGUGCAUCGGACGCGUCAUCAACUCUCACGUCGUCUACCCCGGACGCUUCUCUUCCGAGCCCACGCGCCGUGGCAGCAACACUGGCUUCCUUCUUGUGGAGCCGGCCGAGACAUCCGCCGGCGGCGAAAGGAACUGGGUGGCCAGCGCCGACGGCAGGUUCGCCUGGCUCUUCGUCGGGGGUUCCGAGCCAACGCUCUUCGACAUCGUCACCGGAGAAGUCAAGCCUCUGCCCCCCUUCCCGGGCCAGGACGGCGACAACGGGAUCGGGCGGCGGCUGACGAAUCCCCGUGGCAUCGUCUACGGCGACGGCACCAUAUUUGUCUACAGCUUUAAUACCGAGUCGGCACGCGGCCAGGGGUACUACCAUCCUGGCUUCACGGGAGCCAUCCUACGUCCCGGUGACACAGCAUGGACGGCCGUGGAGAACCGGUUGAACAUGCGGGCAACCCACCACGCAUGCGCCGCGUAUCACGGCGGCAAGGUCCUGGUGUGGGUCAGCGUCUUCUUCUGGUGCAUCUUGACACCGAGCUUCGGGCUCGGAGGCAAUGGCGGGAACAAUGCCGGCGCCGUCGUCCACCUUGAGACGACGUGGGAUAAGCUCGAGGAGGACUAUUAUGAGCGAGACCAAUGCUACGUUCUCGAGUCCCGUGGCGAACUGCUGUGGGCGUCCGUCCUAGUCGAGCACAAAGGGCGCGAUGAUCAUGCCGAGGGCAUCAUGGCGUCCAAGCUGACCGUAAGGGUUCAUGCACUGGAAAAAGAAGUGGCCGGCAGCGACAGGAUGCGGUGGGUGGAGAGGGUCGACGACCGGGGCUUGGAGGAUCGUGUCAUGUUUCUCGGGUCCCCGACGAGCUUCGCCGUAGACGCCAUUGAACUGGGCCUGGAUGGUGGGUGCGUCUACUUCGUCUACAAGCAUCGCGUGUUCAGGUACAACCUCGUCGACGGCAAAGCCAGCCCUGUGGAGUGGAUGUCCGCCGCCGGUAGGGGUUCACACAAGGCGCAUGUCUGGCUCCGGCCACAACAACCUCUAGUUGCUCCAAUCCAGGAAAUCCGUCAAAGGCUUGAAACAACAAGUAGUAAUAAUGUCUAAUAAUUUUGUAACUCAAUGAUGCAUUUUGGAAUCAUUUGAAGGUUGGCUAAAAAAGUCACCUUUUGACAAUCUUGAGUAUUUAAUAUUUGUUGGAAGGGAAUUGGGUUGACCAUACAUAUGUGAGAAGAUAUUCUAGAGAUGUACAAACUGUUUUUGCAUAGUUUUCUGAGCUUCACGAUAACUUACUUGAUCCAUUGAGAAAUAAGUUUUUGCAAAAUAAAAAAAGACUGAGAAAUAAUGUUUUCGCAAAAAAAGACAUUACACCGUGUCUUUUUAACUUGUCCUAGAAUGUCAUCAAAUAUCUUACUCUAUAAGAGUUGAUUCUUUCAAUUCUAUAUUUAUGCCUAUUUCAUGGUAUCUCUGCCAAUAGCACCCAGGAGUGACAAGAGCAUCCAUAUUGGCCUGUAACUACUUGAUUGUGUGAUUAACUAAGAACAGAAAAUAAACAGAGUAACAUAGGUGCGUAAAUUUGCUAAAUGAGUAAACAGAGAACAAAAUAACUCGGAAUCUGCAUCUGAGCUCAGCGCUCAGUAAGUUUGCUAAAUAACAACGAAAUGCAGCACAACAUGUUUGCUAUUGAUGGAAUAGUUCAGUACAAUACAUGUUUCAGACCACUCGUCAAUCACAAACACACGCAGCACAAGACUAGCAGAUGGUACAACACACCCUCCAUAAGAAACGAAGCACACGUCACAUACACACCCAGGAAAGUAGUACGAAAGCAUGAGACAGAAACAAGAUAUCCACACACAUGUACUAGCAAAUACAGUAGCGACACAUAAAACGCAAACACAAAAGGUUGCUGCUGUAAAGCGGGCACUAAACGGUGGGACUUGUAUUAUACCUGAAAUUAAGACAGUUUGGAUGAUUUGCAACAGCUUGUUGCACAUGAUUUGGGUCAAAUUCACCAUUGAGCUCCAACUCUUUUAGGCUUGGAAGCUCAUUGAGGCCAAUAAUGGUGUCUGUCGUGAAGUCCACGCUGGUGAAGGUCCAUUCAAUCUUUGCGAGCUUGGGAGCUGUGCCAGCCUCAAAAGAAAUACUUUUAAUGGUGGAAGCGCUCUCGAUGACAAGAAAGUGGAUAUUUUUGAACUCAUUAGCCUUGAAGGAGAGUUUGUUCUCUAUGUAUGACUCAUGCCGGAGAGUAAGGCAGCGAAGGCGUUCAAGCUUGCCCAGGAUUCGCAUAGAAUCAUCUGACAAUGAUGUCUUACGCAGAGUUAUCUCGGCAAGAUGUGGGAGCUCCUCAAUCCAGUUAGGCAAUCCCUUGGUGAUACCGUUGAUGCGAAGUAUCUCAAGAAACUUGGGAAAUGAUUGUGUUAGUUCUAGGUUCAUGUUGAGGCCCUCAGCAUUACUGGUUUGGCGCGGUGGUCUUACCCAAACUGACAAUUUGCGGAGGUGUUCACUCAACUCAGUGACCACCCGGAGCAAAUGGUUGACAUUAUCUUGUUUACCAUGAAUGACCACACCAAGACUUUUGAGACACUUGAGAUUCUUGACGUUUUUCAACUCCUUGUCGUCUUCAGCAACUUCAACAUAAAUCAGUGUCUCCAUUUUUGUCAUUCUCCCGAUCUUGUUAGGCAUCAGCACAGUGGAAAGUGUCUCCUCAGGCGAGACACCGACCUGAUAACCUACGGGCCCAGCUAGCAGAUGCUUUAACAUCGGGAGAAAAAGAUCUUUUGUGGCAGAGGAUGGAACCUUGGUUUGUCGAAUGUCGAGCGUCUCUAACUGUUGCAGCUUGUUAAUUUCCCUGCUGGGCAGCCCAGAAAUCUCUGUGCUCACGAUGCUCAAAUACUUGAGCAUGAACAAGUUGUUGCAUAUGAUCUUGAGAUGCAUGUUCUUCAAAUGCCUGCAGAAGUCUAGGUCCAUCACUUUCACCCGCGCUGCCACUCCAGAGAAUGCAGGGAGCGACUCAAGAAAUGUUGUGACCUCAUCAGAUUCAGGUGCACCUUCGGCUUCGGGUGGUCCCACUGUAGAGAAGCAGUUGCAGAUGUACCCACUGCCCUGCUGCUGCUUCUGCUUCAGCUUGUGUAAGACUUGGUGCCACUGGAUAUCACUGCUAAUGGAAAGAUGGCGAGCAAGUUUGGGUGGCAGGCUCGCGUCCCCGAAGUUCUCAUCCCUGACUAUCUUAACAAUGAAGUCACGGACAAUAUCUUGCACCUUGCAGGAAACGACAUUUCCUAAAUUUCCUGCCUUGGCAAUGUCCACAAACCCUUGAGCAACGAGGUCAUCAAAGCAGCCCUCAGCCCUAUCUAGUGCUUCUCGCCCAUCUCCUUCAGUUACAUGGCCUUCCGCAACCCAUCUUCUUACCAAGCUUGUCCUUCUGAUUUUCAUAUUUGGGGGGUAAAUUGAUAAGUAGAGCAAACAGCUCCUGUCCAUCUUGGGCAGCUUGUCAUAGCAAAACUUCAUCAUCUUCAGUCGGAUAUGCUGCUUGGAAGUGUCACUGUCAUCAGGAGGCUGUCCUGAUGAUUCCAGGCUCGUGCACAGGUCCUCCAGUUGCUUCUUACUCAUAUGAGGGUCGGCAUACAGAGUACCGAGCAACAACUUCAUGCAGAAGACAUCCGGAUCACAUUUCUUCAUGAUACGACGUAUGAGGACCCUCUUGUGGUCAUCUUCAUAUUCUGUAGGAAUCAGUUGAUCGGCUUUCUCGAAACAGAACUGAACAAGGGAAUGGACUCUAGUCUUGCUUGGAGAGCAGUGUUCGGCCAACCCACUAUCCUUUGUGGUCAACAUGAUUACACUACCAGGGGAACAGCCAGAGGAGUCUAGGAUCUCCUUCAUCUUAUCCCAUGGGUAUGGAUGGUCAGCUUCUUCAAUGACAACCAAGAACCUUCUGCCUUUGAGGCGCUUUUGGAGCUCAAUAUUGUCCUCGGCAUCACUUGCUCCUCCUUGAUGGGCUUCGUGCUGGGCACGAGGUAGCUUAUGAAUCAUGUCGUCGAGUACUUGCCACAGAAAUGGAGGCCGUUGGAUGCAAACCCAAGCUUUGCAGUCGAACAUGCUCGCCACCGAUGAAUGUUCGUACACUUCCUUGGCAAGGUCGGCACCGUCUGCUGCAUCUGGUGCUACAACAGCGAUGACUACGGGCCGUCGUGCACUUGGGUCAUCUUGGCCUACAGGUUCUUCAGCUUGUAACUUCUUUAGCCAGUUGACCAGAACAACCGUUCCAGCCUUGAGAAUGUCAGGCUCAACGACAACCAAGCUUCGCCUGUGAGCAUGCGCCUCGUCCACCAUAGCGUCGCCACCGCUAGACCUGCCAGCAAACUCAUGGGUCUCUUUGGCCGGGACCAUGACACCGUACCUCAGCCGGCGCUCGCCGAUGUCACGCGCUCGGGACUUGAGCUCACGGAUCUGGGUGGCCACCUGAUGGCGCGCCGGGAUGGUCUGCAGGAAAAAGAGGCCACGACGCAACUGGCCCCGGACGCCCCUUACAGGGGGAGCUGGGCCCACGCGGCGAGCGUAGAGAUCGACGCAGUCCUGUGUGUCAUAGGCGAGAUCACGGACCUGCUUCAUCCACGCGCGGACCUGAUGGUCACCCUCGUUGUCAUUACCAGCCUCGGCGAGGUGGUGAAGGAAGCCGUUCAUGCUCUCCAUCUCGUCCUUGAUGAACUGCGCAUCGCGCCGGACGCCGCCCAGCAGCUGCGCCUCGUCGCGGAUGGCGGACGAGAGGUAGGCCAGCAGCGGGUCGAUGGCACCGCGUACCACGGACACGGCGCCGCUCAUGUUGCUGCCGGCCGGCUUCCCUCCUACAGCUUAACAGAAAUACAUAUCAAGAAGAAGAAGAAGAAGAAGUACUAAACGAGAGAAUGCAGCAAUAAUUAAUUUGAUUUGGCCGUGCCUAGUUGCCUUACCUUUAGCUUUUGCUUUUUCUUUUGUUCAAUUUAAAGCAGGUUCCUCAAUGUAAAGAAGCAAGGUAUCAUACCAUACCACCGACGGUCGCUUUGUUCAUUAGAUUUGGGUUGAACAACACAAACCCCAAGAAUACAUAAUCCUUCUUUGAUCAGUCAAACUUGGAAGCAGAGUUUUUUUGAUUUGGUCCCGAUUCCUGAACACCCUCCCUUUGAGAGAAAAGCUCUCCAAGUUCCAUUUCAACCUCACAGCAGAAAAUAGACAACAGCACCUUCAGAAUUGUGAGUUUAUGCCAAAUGGUAACAGACUAGCAGCAAGAUUGAAAAAACAAUUCUUUUCUCUGAAUCAUGGCAACACAUAUUAUACCGUGCGCAGAAGCAGGCACUUGACAUCAAAUUAAGAAACUAUGGAUCAUGCAUUUCAUCGAACAGAACGCGGGCGCGCACGAAUCCCCGCCAUUCCCUGCUAACAAUCUACCAUUACAGUUGCUAAAGCUAAAGCGCUAAUCGAAUCAAAGCAAAUAGGGAUCCAGCACUACAGGAUCAUUUACCUUCGUAGGCGAGGGAGUCGAGUCGAGCGGUUCCAUGCCGGAGGAGCGGGAGGAGACUAACAGCUCGUCGGAGGUCCCAGCGACGUCGCCGUCCAUUACCCCAUGGACUUAUACACAUCAUCAUCCUCCUCUUCAUAUUAUCCCACGGUCGAUGGCGGCCGGAGGGACGAGGACGCCGCCACGACGGCGGCGACGGCGACGCCGGACCGUGGCGGGUGUCAAGACUCUAACUGAACCCAGCAUUGUCAAAGUCACAUGGACGCUUCGUCAGUGUUAGACCAAGUCUGUAGUGCCCUCGAACCCAUAAAAAUAACCGUUUUUUUACAAUUUUCGUCGAAAAAACGGUAUAGACUAGAACCCUUAAAUCCUUAAAUCCGUAAAAAAAAUUUAGAGGUCCAACCCUCAAACGCCAUCGCAGCCUGUAGAAGUGAGGGUUGGGAAGAGAAACUCCCCCCAACCUGCACUCCUCUUCCUCUCCAGCGCGGGAGGGAAGUUUCAGCUCCCUCCCCUCGAUCCGCCGCCGCCGCCGCUCCGCUCCGGCCGCCCAUCCGCCUUCCCGGCCGCCCCUCCGCCGCCCCGCCCCGGCCGCCCUNNNNNNNNNNNNNNNNNNNNNNNNNNNNNNNNNNNNNNNNNNNNNNNNNNNNNNNNNNNNNNNNNNNNNNNNNNNNNNNNNNNNNNNNNNNNNNNNNNNNUCCUCCGGUGUCAGUGAGUUAUAUGAUCUCAUGGUCAUAGGAAUAAAUACUUGACACGCAGAAAACAAUAGCAACAAAAUGACACGAUCAACAUGCUACGUAUAUUAGUUUGGGUCUAGUCCAUCACGUGAUUCUCCCAAUGACGUGAUCCAGUUAUCAAGCAACAACACCUUGUUCAUAAUCAGAAGACACUGACUAUCAUCGAUCAACUGGCAAGCCAACUAGAGGCAUGCUAGUGACGGUGUUUUGUCUAUGUAUCCACACAUGUAAAUGAGUCUUCAUUCAAUACAAUUAUAGCAUGGAUAAUAAACUAUUAUCUUGAUACAGGAAUUAUAAUAAUAACUAUACAUUUAUUAUUGCCUCUAGGGCAUAAUUCCAACAACUUAUCGUGCAACCGAGGAGGGGCUUUAGUCCCGGGUGGAGCCACGCCCCGGGACUAAAGACACCCUUUAGUCCCGGCUGGAGCCACGCACCGGGACUAAAGACCCCCUGCUUCCCGCCUCUUGGUCUGCCCGAAAAGUGGCCUUUAGUCCGGGGUCGUGGCUCCACCCGGGACUAAAGGGGGUCUUUAGUCCCGGCCCGAGCCACGCACCGGGACUAUAGAUCCACCUAUAUAAGCGGGACUUCGAAAAUUUCCAACCAAUUCGUCCAUUUCUCUUCUUCUUCCUCUCGUUCUCGUGCCCGGCGCGGCACAUCGACGAACUAACCGACGCCGUCAGGCUGCCCGCCGUCCUGCUCGCCGCCGCCUGCCGUCCUCCUCGCCGCCGCGCCGUCCUCCUAGCCGUCGCGCCGUGCUCCUCGCCGUCGCGCCGUCCUCCGCGCCGCGCGCCGUCGACACCUCCGGCCGGUAAGCCCCCCGCCCCUUCCUCCCAACACUCCGGCCAGUAUAGAAGAAAAGAAGAAAAAGGAGAAGAGAACAAGAAAAAGGAGAAGAAAGGAAGAAAAAGGAGAAGAAAAGAAGAAAAAGGAGAAGAAAAGAAGAAAAAGAAAAAGAUUUUUUUGUCAUUUAAUUCCUAUUGUUAUUAGGUUUGUGCUAGAUUAUUAGGGUUAGUAAUAUUUAGAAUUAGGUUAGGGUUACAAGAAGAACAAAUAUGAACAAAAAUAAGAAAAUAAGAUUAGGAAAACUGAAAAUAAGAAGAGGAGGAGAAGAAAAGAAGAAAAAGUGUAUAUUGUAUAGUGUAUAUGCUUAAGUGUAUAGUGUAUAAGGAGAGGAGGAAUUUUGCUAUAGUGUAUAUAGUGUAUAGUGUAUAAGAAAAUAAGAAAAGAAGAGGAUGAGAAGAGAAGAAAAGAAGAGGAGGAGAAGAAAAAUGAAAAUAAGAAGAGGAGGAAUUUUGCUAUUGUAUAGUGUAUAUGCUUAAGUGUUAAUAGUGUUUCUUAGAUUAUUGCUUAAUUUUGCUAUUGUAUAUGCUUAAGUGUUAAUAGUUUAAUUUUGCUAUUGUAUAUGCUUAAGUGUUAAUAGUUUAUUUUUAGCAAGAAAAUUAAUAGAACUAGUUUAUUUUUUUAGUUCAUUUUACGAUGUCUAUCCCGCAUCCUCGUUGAUGAGGUCAUAGUCCUAGGGUAGGGUCAUAGGCUUGUCAUGUAGGUCCUACCCAAGGACUACCCUCACAAAGGACAAGACCCUUAGUCAGUCCCGACUGAAUUAAGGAGUCCCCAUCAUCCAGUCGGUAACAGGUCCUCAACCAUUCAGGCGGAGACUAGCAUUCGGAGGAUACCAAGCUAACCGACUGGCUACACUCGGUACAUCGUAACCUCUCUGGAGGGAAACGGCCGUACGUUUCCGGGUGCAUUUAUUAACAUUUAGAGCAUACGUUACCUGUAACGUACGCAUUCAAUCCCCACUAUUCCACCCCUGUACCGGAACCGUUGUGGAGGGCAGCGCACUCUAUAUAAGUCGCCCUCCCCCACUCGUAGAGGGGUUAGCAACUCAUUGUAUUCCCUAUUCCACUCGACAACAAAGCUCCCUGAGCACUGAGACGUAGGGUUAUUACCUCCACCGCAGAGGGGCCCGAACUCAUACAUCCUCGCCGUAGCUGGGACUCUGCCCAUCCUUUUCGUACCCUACACAUCUACUGUCAGGCUUAUACCCACGACAGUUGGCGCCCACCGUGGGGCAGGCGUCUAAGCGACUUCCGGCGAGUUUGCGACUACUUCCUUUCGUCAUGUCGUCCGGUGGAGAUUCGAGCAUGGGUCACCAGAUCCUCUUCAGCGCUCUCUCCUUCAUCGUCGACGGUUCGGCGUGGCUUCGGGAAGCACCUCUCGACGUCGAGGCUCUUCCCCGUCACGGGGCCAUGCACUUCCGUGUCGGCGCUCGCGGCGUUCUCCUUCUCCAACAAUCGGCUCCAUUGCCGGCUUGCACCUUCGUCACGCGCCACAGCAAGCGGUCUCGCAGUCCACGUCUCCAACGUUGGGUGCAGCAUGCCCGAGCGCGUCAGUUCGCGUCCUCUCAAGUGGCGGUUCUGGAGUCUGUCGUGGUUGCCCAGUGCUCGGGCUCGGUUCCGACUGAGCUUCCUUCCGAGUACGUGGGCCCCGGACCUGCAGCAGAAGUUCACAUGGCCAACACCCAUGAAGAUCCUCAUCAGGCCGGCCGGAACGAGCGCGAAGUCGGUGAAGCUUCCGGUGCACGCCGUCCGCCUCGCCGUUCUGCCAGUCGGCACACCUGGCAGAGCAACGUGGAGUUGUUCCGCACACCUCUCCUCAACUUGGCUGCAGCAGCCAAGAUCGCCGAUUCCCUCCAGCCGACUGAUUCAGAGGCAGGAAGGGGAAUCGAGCAGAUCCGUGCUCUGUUGCACACGGCGCAGCAGCAGAAUUCGGCAGUCUCCCAGUCGCACAAUCGGAUCCACAAUAGUUCCGUCCAUGCAAACACGCAUCGGUCGGUUCACAACCCUGGCUCCUAUCAGCACCACAGGGGAGGCAGUCGUUCCAUGGUCCGCGAAGAUCGCCGCCGUUCGCGCACCCCUCCGCGGGGUGGGCCCUAUGGGUCCCGACAUCAUGAUGAUCGGCGUUCAGUCGGCGACACUUAUGACCCGAGACCCGACGCAAGAGGGCGAAUCGCCCAGCGAAGAAUCGACAGGGGUCGAGCCCACCGCGAUGGCCACGAUCUGGAUCGUCUGAGUGGCAACAGGACCAUCGUGUCCGGCCCCGAGUGUUUUAGUCGAGCCAUCUGCUCGGCUGACAUCCCGCCCAACUUCCGAUUGGCAGCGGGAAUCGGUAAAUUUACGGGGGAAUCCAAGCCUGAAACAUGGCUAGACGACUACCGAGUGGCAGUCCAGAUUGGAGGAGGGGACGACCAUGUCGCUAUGAAGCACCUCCCUCUGAUGCUCGACGGCUCGGCACGAGCUUGGCUGAACCAGUUGCCCCCCUCAAGCAUUUACAGUUGGGCAGAUCUGGCCCGAGUGUUCAUCAGGACUUUCGAAGGGACGUGCAAACGCUCUGCAGGCCUUGUGGAGCUUGAACACUGUGUCCAGAAGCCGAAUGAGCCCUUGCGCGACUUCAUCCAGUGAUGGACAACUCUCUACCACACGGUGGAGAACGUCACCGAGCAUCAAGCAGUCUGCGCAUUCAAGGCAGGCAUUCGGUACAGAGAGCUGUACCUAAAGUUCGGCCGGACGGGCGACAUCUCCAUGAGAAAGAUGAUGGAGAUAGAUGCUCGCUAUGCAAAUGGCGAGGAAGAAGACCGCAUCCGGAGUGGCAAACACAAGACAGUCGGCGAUGCCGACGGAGGUAACACUCGGAAGCAGAAACAGAAAGUUCCACCCACACCGCAGGCACAAGCUGCAGCUGUGACCAGCGCCAAGUUCAAGGGCAAAGGGAAAGCGCCGUCUGCCCCCAAGAAGAAGCCGUUCAACAAUCCCAUCCUGGAUCAGCCUUGUCCAAUUCACACGAAGAUGGACGAAGAAGGCAACCCCAUAUACGCGAAGCAUACCACUCGGCAGUGUCGUCUCCUGAUCCAGGGGUUCAACGAAGGACAACCGAGUGAGAAGAAUCCUGAACAAGAUGAGGAGGAUAAGGAGGAUCCGUUCCCCCAAGUCCAUGCAACCCUCAUGAUUUUUGCUGACGUCGAAAGCAAGAGUCGACUGAAGCUGGUGAACAGAGAGGUCAACAUGGCCGUUCCGACUGCUCCCAAGUUCCUUAGAUGGUCUCAGACUGCGAUCACCUUUGAUCAGUCGAACCAUCCAACGCAUGUCCCCACUCCAGGAAGACAGGCUCUGGUCGUCGACCCGGUGGUGGAAGGAGUCCGACUGCGCAAAGUCCUCAUGGACGGCGGUAGCGGACUGAACAUCAUGUACGCCGACACCCUCAAGGGAAUGGGCAUUCCGAUGUCCAGACUCAGCAAGAGCAAUAUGCAGUUCCACGGAGUCGUCCCCGGGCGGAAGGCCAAGUCACUCGGCCAGAUCGCGUUGGACGUUACUUUCGGCUCCGACAAAAACUUUCGCAAGGAGAAGCUCACAUUCGAGGUGGUGGAUUUCCAGAGCGCUUACCAUGCAAUUCAGGGCCGUCCGGCGUACGUGAGUCUCAUGGCAUGCCCGUGCUAUGUGUACUUGAAGUUGAAGAUGCCAGGUCCAAAAGGCGUUAUCACCAUCACCGGCAACCGUCAGCGAGCCGAGGAGUGUCUGCAAGAGGGAUCAAGAAUCGCCGACCAGCAGAUGGCUGUACUCGAGCUCGAAGAGUACAAGAAGACAGUCGACCCUGCCGACUUAACGCGCUCAAAGAAGCCAGCUUCUGAGUCCGCGUUCCAGUCGGCGGGAGAGACUAAGAAGGUCAGCAUCCACCCGACGGACGAGUCUGCCGCCCCGACGAACAUCUCCACCACCCUCGAUCCUAAAUAGGAAGCCGAGCUCACCCAAUUCCUCCGUGAGAACUGGGACAUCUUCGCAUGGAAACCUUCUGACAUGUCGGGUGUACCCAGGGAGUUGGCUGAGCACCGACUGCAUGUGGAUCCCGUCGCUCGGCCCGUCCGAGAGCGCCUGCGUCGGUCCGCCGCGCACAAGAGGAAGGCAAUCGGAGAAGAGGUGGCCAAGCUGCUGGCUGCCAAUUUCAUUCGCGAGGUUCACCACUCCGAGUGGCUCGCCAAUGUCGUCAUGGUGCCCAAGAAGGACAAGUCACUCCGAAUGUGCAUUGACUUCAAGCACCUCAAUAAGGUCUGCCCGAAAGACCAUUUUCGGCUCCCCCGCAUAGAUCAAAUUGUCGAUUCGACUGCGGGAUGCGAGCGUUUGUCAUUCCUUGAUGCCUACUCGGGAUAUCAUCAGAUCCGUCUGUAUGGUCCUGAUGAGUUGAAAACGGCCUUCAUCACCCCGUUUGGGUGCUUCUGCUACAUCACUAUGCCUUUCGGUCUGAAGAAUGCGGGAGCUACCUUUAUGCGCAUGAUCCAAAAAUGUCUCCUCGACCAGAUCGGUCGCAAUGUGGAGGCAUACAUGGAUGAUAUCGUAGUCAAGUCACGCAAAGGUUCCGACCUGCUGACUGACUUGGCAGAAACAUUCGCCAACCUUCGUAGGUACGAUAUCAAACUAAACCCAGCCAAAUGUUCAUUCGGUGUUCCCAGCGGAAAGUUACUCGGUUUCUUCGUUUCCGAACGAGGGAUCGAUGUUAACCCCGAAAAGAUCGGGACCAUCGUCCGAAUGGAGAGACCGGUCAGAAUACACGAUGUUCAACGGCUCACAGGUUGCCUAGCGGCUUUGAGCAGGUUCAUGAGUCGACUCGGCGAAAAAGCACUUCCUCUGUACCGACUCAUGAAGAAGUCAGAUACCUUCGAGUGGACAGACGAAGCCCAAGUCGCAUUCGACGACCUCAAAGUCCUACUUUCCACCCAGCCGGUUCUUACUGCUCCGCUCAGUAAAGAGCCCCUUCUUCUNNNNNNNNNNNNNNNNNNNNNNNNNNNNNNNNNNNNNNNNNNNNNNNNNNNNNNNNNNNNNNNNNNNNNNNNNNNNNNNNNNNNNNNNNNNNNNNNNNNNGUGUACACCGAGUUGGGGUAUAGAAAAACCAGUCCCGAGUGCAAAAUGAUGUUGGAGUAGAGGAGUCAAGUUGGAUGCAACAGGGGCGUGUUAUGUUGCGCAAGUGAGAUGUGUGCCAAGCUUCGGACAAUUUGAACUCGGCGAAAACUCAUAGCUCAUCGAAAUCCCAUAUUCUAAUAGUGUCAUGACGUGAUGAUCUACAUGUGACGGCGCAGCGCAAUGUGAUAGUGCUGUAAGCCCAAAUAGAAAUCGAAAAGACUAAACUUGAAAAAAAUACUGCAUUCCAAUUAUGACAACACGAUCCUUUCAUUGUGAUACACGGUGCAGGAACAAUAUGUAUAGCCUCGUUUCGACGAUGGUCAAUGUUGCGUCUCCAGAAGGUAGGAUAGCGGCCUUGUAAAACUGGCCCCUGCGGUUUUUGUAAAUGUAGAUGUAAAGAAUGAGAGUGGCGUCCCCGGAGAUGACACCAUGAGGCUUACUCAUCCGGUGUCGGAUGCGUCUGUCAUCAUCGUCGCCCCCAUGGCCGCGGGUAGAUGACGCGCCCUCCGGCUCCAUGAUAACAUUGUCGUCGUGCCCUCCGGCCUCGGACGAGACUUCGACACGCCUUGAUGUUAGAGAUCCCAAGAGAUGGACAACUCGAACCUACGUAAUCACGCAACUAUAGAUCACCUGCCUCUCACGCUUUUCUUUUUUCCCUUGGUCGCCCGCCCGCCCCCCUGCGUGCGGCGGUGCCGGCCAGCAAUCGAACGUUGUCUCCGUUGAAGUAUCACCUGGGUCAAUCCUUGUCUCGGACCAUGUUGGUUCUGCUAAUCCGAUUUCUUUGUGGAAGUAUCCGAUUUUACGGAUUGCAAUCCCUUUGUUCUGUUGCCAUUCUCUGCUUGUUGACUUCUGAUGCAGCAAGGCUGCUCAUAUAUAAAAGUUGAUAAGAUUGGGUGCAAGGCAGCAAGGUGGGACUAUACUACGAUGACAAUCUUGGUUUGCAACACAAACGUAUCUGAUCAUGAGAUUAUUGGGUGCAACAUGGACUUAUAAAUCCGUGUAAACAAACAGGUAGAGACUCNNNNNNNNNNNNNNNNNNNNNNNNNNNNNNNNNNNNNNNNNNNNNNNNNNNNNNNNNNNNNNNNNNNNNNNNNNNNNNNNNNNNNNNNNNNNNNNNNNNNNNNNNNNNNNNNNNNNNNNNNNNNNNNNNNNNNNNNNNNNNNNNNNNNAGACCGCAGGUUGAUUUGAAAGAAAUGGAGGUUUUUUUUGCAAAAUUGCCAACGAAGUAGGGGCAGAAACAUUCAUAAUUUAAUAGUAUAUAAAAAAAGUAGGAGUAGAGAUAGAGAUUAAUACACCAAAAGAAAUUACGUAAUAAUUACCAAACCUUUUUUUUGCAGGCAUAAUAAUUAGGCCCUGUUUGUUUCAUAAGUCCUAGGACUUUUUUAAGUCUCAACCUAUAAGUCAUAAGUCCCUACAUGUUUGUUUACAGGGACUUAUAAGUCCCGAGUCUCUACCUGUUUGUUUACACGGAUUUAUAAGUCCAUGUUGCACCUAAUAAUAUACUUGUUCACAUGGAUCGUCAUCAGCCAACGCGUACGGCACACCGCUGCAACGAGGCUCAGGAAAGGGCAUGUCCGGCGAUUGGAGGCACCGCUGCAACGAACCAAGGCAAAACAAACCGAGGCGGGGCGGCGACGGGGCGGCGACCCGAGCGAGAGGCGGGGCGGCGACGGGGCGAGAGGCGGGGCGGCGACCCGAGCGAGAGGCAGGGCAGCGACGGGGCNNNNNNNNNNNNNNNNNNNNNNNNNNNNNNNNNNNNNNNNNNNNNNNNNNNNNNNNNNNNNNNNNNNNNNNNNNNNNNNNNNNNNNNNNNNNNNNNNNNNAGAACAUUGUCCAAUGGGCCGAGCAGAUAUGGGUCGGUUGCUGUUGUUCUACCCAUUCUGCUAUGAAGUCAGCCAGAGCUUGAGACUUAAUAGCUUUCUUGGCCUCGAACUUGAUAUCGCAGUACAGCAUCUCCAUCGCCCACUUCGCCACUCGGCCUGACGCAUCUCGAUUGUGGAGAAUUUCCGACAAUGGAGCAUCAGAAACGACAGACAGCGAGUGGUCUUGGAAAUAAUGGGCCACCUUCUUCGCAGUCAUGUAAAUCCUAUAGAUAAGUUUUUGAUAGUGGGGAUACCUCUGCUUGGAAGGAGUCAGGACUUCGGAGAUGUAGUACACUGGCCGCUGAACUUUGUAUGCUUUGCCUUCUUCUUCUCAUUCGACUGUAAGAACAGUACUGACGACUUGAUUUGUAGCCGCGAUAUACAGAAGAAGGGGCUCUUUACUGAGCGGAGCAGUAAGAACCGGCUGGGUGGAAAGUAGGACUUUGAGGUCGUCGAAUGCGACUUGGGCUUCACCUGUCCACUCGAAAGUAUCUGAUUUCUUCAUGAGUCGGUACAGAGGAAGUGCUUUUUCGCCGAGUCGACUGAUGAACCUGCUCAAAGCCGCUAGGCAACCUGUGAGUCGUUGAACAUCGUGUAUUCUGACCGGCCUCUCCAUUCGGACGAUGGUCCCGAUCUUUUCGGGGUUGACAUCGAUCCCUCAUUCGGAAACGAAGAAACCGAGUAACUUUCCGCUGGGAACGCCGAAUGCACAUUUGGCGGGGUUGAGCUUGAUAUCGUACCUACGAAGGUUGGCGAAUGUUUCUGCCAAGUCAGUCNNNNNNNNNNNNNNNNNNNNNNNNNNNNNNNNNNNNNNNNNNNNNNNNNNNNNNNNNNNNNNNNNNNNNNNNNNNNNNNNNNNNNNNNNNNNNNNNNNNNACAAAAGUGGUUCCGCGGCACGCCGCGUGGUUCUGCUGCACGCCACGUGGUUCCGCUGCACGCCACGUGGGACUAAUGGUCUUUCAUUUUUAAAUGAUUGUUUUUAUCAAAAACAGAUCUAUUACAAAAGGGAUUUCAUUUUUUGAACUUAUUUGAACUGAAGACAUUUUGUAUAUAUAUGUGGUCGAAAUGCAUGAUACCAUGAAGUUAGAAANNNNNNNNNNAAUUUUAAAUGUCUGUUUUAAUCAAAAACAGAUCUGUUACAAAAGGGAUUUCAUUUUUUGAACUUAUUUGAACUGAAUACUUUUUGUAUAUAUAUGUGGUCGAAAUGCAUGAUACCAUGAAGUUAGAAAGGGCUAAACCAUUCAAAAUUAGCAAAUGAAGUUAGAAAGGGCUAAACCAUUCAAAUUUGGAAACUAUAAUGGCACAAACAAAAACUAGACAUAUAUAAAUUGGUCCAAGCAGUACAUGAUACUAGUCCAAACAGUACAUAAUAAUAGCUACCAUAGAUAUAUAUACAAGUGUUCGACGUUAAGAACACUACUCGUAUGAAUCAUCUAAAUCAGAAUGUCUACCUUAUUCGAGGUGACGCUGGCCAUAGUUGACGACUCGAAUCUUGCAGUACAACUCGUAUGAAACGUAUGCAUCUUUUGCUGCAUACUCAAUGUUGAUACGAUCAAGUGGGGCCUUCUCCCAAAGUUUGUGCUGAGACUUUGGGAAAUUGGUCUUCAUAUUACCAUAUUCCUCGUCGAUCAAGGCAACUGGCAUAUGAGCCAUCGAAGUCCUGACAUGUCGAAGCCUGAAUACCGUUUGGAGAUCAAUGAAGCAACCAGUUGGUAUCUCAAUACCGAAGCUGUACCUCAUCUUCAGCUUGUCGUUCGUUAUGUCAACGGUAGCAAAAGUGAUGCCGUUGCGAAGGAAGUCCAUGAGUUCUGGACAAUGCUUGUCACUACUGCAACAGAAACAAAUUAAAAUGGAACAAAUGUUACAUACUGCUGCAAUAAGGANNNNNNNNNNCACGUUCCUCGAGGUGACACUGGCCAUAGUUGACGACUUGAAUCUUGCGGUACAACUCGUAUGAAACGUAUGCAUCUUUUGCUGCAUACUCAAUGUUGAUAUCAUCAAGUGGGCCCUUCUCCCAAAGUCUGUGCUGAGACUUUGGGAAACUGGUCUUCAUAUCACCAUAUGACUCGUCGAUCAAGGCAACUGCCAUAUGAGCCAUCGAAGUCCUGUCAUGUCGAAGCCUGAAUAUCGUUUGGAGAUCAACGAGGCAACCAGCUGGUAUCUCAAUACCGAAGUUGUGCCUCAUCUUCAGCUUGUCGUUCCUUAUGUCAACGGAAGCAAAAGUGAUGCCGCUGCGAAGGAACUCCAUGAGUUCUGGACAAUGCUUGUCACUCCUGCAAUAGAAACAAAUUAAAAUGGAACAAAUGUUACAUACUGCUGCAAUAAGGAAACAUGUUUCACUACAACUAAAGAGAAAAUUAUCUUUAGGAUUCAAAUAGAACGUAUUGCUAUCCUAUGCAAUUUUCAUAUCCUACGAAUUGAUCAAGAAACCGUAAAUUAACUAUGACAUAUAUAUAUAUAUAUAUUCUCCCACGGUUUUGCAAAUAUUCAAUAAGCUAGACAUGUUGCAUAUUGCUAUCCAAUGGAACCUAGAGAGAUCACUAUAGCUAUCCAAUGGAACCUAGAGAGAUCACUAGCUAUAUGCAAUUUUCAUGACUAUGACAUAUCAUAUUGCUAUCCAAUGGAACCAAAAGAGAUCACUAGCUAUAUGCAAUUUUCAUAACCUUGGAUCAAAGAACACCACAUAAAAUUGUAUCACUACAACUAUGAUUUCAAUGGAACAUAUUGAACCAAUCAGAUUUUUUAGAUUGUGGAACACUAUUCCAAUCAGAUUGUGUUCCCUUCAACUAAUCAAAAUUGUUUCACUACAACUAUUUGAAGCGAACCAACUAUGAUUCCAAUGGAACAUAUUAAACACUAGUUGAUUCUAAUACGAUUUUUCAGAUUAUGGAACACUACUCCAAUCAGAUUGUGUUCCCCUUCAACUAAUCAAAAUUGUUUCACUACAACUAUUUGAAGGGAACCAACUAUGAUUCCAAUGGAACAUAUUAAACACUAGUUGAUUCUAAUACGAUUUUUCAGAUUAUGAAACACUAUUCCAAUUAGAUUGUGCUCCCCUUCAACUAAUCAAAAUUGUUUCACUAGAACUAUUUGAAGGGAACCAACUAUGAUUGAAACAAAUAAACUUACAAUGUCAUUACCUUGGAUCAAAGAAAGCCUCAAAACUUACCUCGCCCAUUGGAAGAUCAAGACAUGGCGUGCGAAGCAUAGUUGGAUGACGACAACACCGCGUUGAUCGGCCGUGUACUCCAGAUCAAUCCCCAAGAACUUCUCAUGAUCCGCUGCGUGGUCAAACCAUUUUUCCUUCAACUGUUGAAGAAAAAACGGCACCUCGUUGCUCAGGUUCGUGUACACGACAUCGAGCAUCGUCGUGCCAUGUGCGAGCACCUUACGAAAGCUAGUUGGCAUGGUGGAAGAAGAGAAGGGAAGAAGAGAGGAGAAGAACAGAGAGGACGACGCGAGAGAGAAGAAGAACAGAGAAAUGACGAUUGUACACUUCGGUUCGUGCUUUUCAUCGCCCGAAACGACGGGGGAUGCAAACCGUUUGGGCCUUUAGUCCCGGAUUGAGCCACCAACCGNNNNNNNNNNNNNNNNNNNNNNNNNNNNNNNNNNNNNNNNNNNNNNNNNNNNNNNNNNNNNNNNNNNNNNNNNNNNNNNNNNNNNNNNNNNNNNNNNNNNAUUUAUUACAUAUAAUAUAUAUUUAAGUAGUUAAAUUAACGAUCUAGAACUACGCACAUGCCCUGUACACCCGGACGGAGGGGUAGCAUAUCGUUUCACAGACGUGAUAAAUACACCACCCUCACCUCACCCACCUUCUUCAGAAACCAGAUCGUGAGAUUGCAAGUUUCAAUCAUGUUGCCGGCCAUGGUGGAGCCCUUUGUUGGGGGCGACAGCGGCGCCGAGGAGACAGGAGGGCCAAAGGAGAGCCUGGUGGUGACCGAGGUGAAGAAGCAGCUGUACCUCGCCGGGCCUCUCAUCGCCGGAUGCCUGCUGCAGAACGUCGUGCAGAUGAUCUCGGUCAUGUACGUCGGCCAUCUCGGCGAGCUCGCCCUCUCCAGCGCCUCCAUCGCCACAUCCUUCGCGAAUGUCACCGGCUUCAGCUUGAUGGUAUGCCCAUUCAUCUCCCUACGUGUUUUGAUCCUCAUGGAUGAACCACUGACAUCAACCUGAAUGGUUUUCCGUUCUUGUGUUCGUUCAUAAUGAUCAUCUCAGUCUGGCAUGGCGAGCAGCUUGGACACGCUGUGUGGGCAAGCCUUCGGGGCAAAACGGCCCCAUCUGCUCGGCAUCUACAAGCAGAGGGCGAUCCUUGUGCUCACUCUGGUGNNNNNNNNNNNNNNNNNNNNNNNNNNNNNNNNNNNNNNNNNNNNNNNNNNNNNNNNNNNNNNNNNNNNNNNNNNNNNNNNNNNNNNNNNNNNNNNNNNNNUCGCUCAUUUAUGGAACAUAACACCGGUAGCCGGAAACUAAGGGGGCAANNNNNNNNNNCCCUUGCCAGACCAGCUUUAAUCUAAAACGAAUUAUCAAGGGGGUCCCCAUAACAACCCCGUUCGUGUUAGGAGCGCUCAUUUAUGGAACAUAACACCGGUAGCCGGAAACUAAGGGGGCAAAGGGGAACAAAACACCAGGCUAGAAAGGCCGAGCCUUCCACCUUUUACCAAGUAUAUAGGUCCAUUAAAUUAAAUAGCAUUAAUAUGGUGAUAAGACAAGGAACCCAUGUUAUCACAUGGAAGCAUCUGCACCUGCAACUAGCAACGCUAUCGACAGGGUUAAGCAAGCAGUAACAUAGCCAUUCAGUGGUUUGCUAGGUCGAACAGGUUGAAGGUAAUCAUGGCAUUGUUGAGAGGCUGGUAUUCAACAUGUGGUAGGCAACGAGACAUAACGAUAGAAGCGAUAAACUAGCAUGGCAAUGAUAGUAAUGGUAUCUGGGGAAAUGGUCAUCUUGCCUGAGAUCCCGCUUGGAAGAAGAAUGUCUACGUGAAGCAGACGAACCGACGUAGUCGAACGGGUCCUCACAAUCCGGCACGCUGCGGAACUCUAUCGAGACGAAGCAAACCGGAAACACAAAUCAACUCACGGAAUUCACCACACGAUGCACAACACAAAUGAUGCAUGAGCAGCUGAAUACAUGCAAGUCACGGCAUGACAAUGUUGGAAAUAUGCCCUAGAGGCAAUAAUAAAUUAGUUAUUAUUAUAUUUCUUAGUUCAUGAUAAUCGUUUAUUAUCCAUGCUAUAGUUGUAUUGAUUGGAAACACAAUACUUGUGUGGAUACAUAGACAAAACACUGUCCCCAGUAAGCCUCUAGUUGACUAGCUCGUUGAUCAAAGAUGGUCAAGGUUUCCUGGCCAUAGGCAAGUGUUGUUACUUGAUAACGGGAUCACAUCAUUAGGAGAAUCAUGUGAUGGACUAGACNNNNNNNNNNNNNNNNNNNNNNNNNNNNNNNNNNNNNNNNNNNNNNNNNNNNNNNNNNNNNNNNNNNNNNNNNNNNNNNNNNNNNNNNNNNNNNNNNNNNCAACUUUCAACAUUUUCAGAGUUCAUUUGUAGUGCUUUUCAAUUUCAGAGUCAACUAGCUCAAAAAAAUAAGUUAAUAGUAUGGAUAGUCAAAAUAAUUACUUUUGAAAAUAGAAAAUAGUUUUGCAUUAUUUAUUCAAUUUCAAACACUUUUCAUUAUCAUAGUUUUGCCAAAUUCUUAAAUAUGCAAAACGAAUUUUAAUAAACAUAGUUUUUAAUUAAAAUUAACAAAAUAGUUAAUAGUUUGGAUAGUCAAAAUAAUUACUUUUGAAANNNNNNNNNNCCUGCUACUUCGAGAGAUAAUAGUUUGGAUAGUCAAAAUUAUUAAUUAUGAAAAUAAAAAAUAGUUUUGCAUUAUUUAUUCAAUUUGAAACACUUUUCAUUAUCAUAGUUUUGUCAAAUUCUUAAAUAUGCAAAAAGAAUUUCUAAUAAACAUAGUUUUUAAUUGAAAAUAACAAAAUAGAUAAUAGUUUGGAUAGUCAAAAUUAUUAAUUAUGAAAAUAGAAAAUAGUUUUGCAUUAUUUAUUCAAUUUGAAACACUUUUCAUUAUCAUAGUUUUGUCAAAUUCUCAAAUAUGCAAAAAGGAUUUUAAUAAACAUAGUUUUAAUUGAAAAUAACAAAAUAGUUAAUAGUUUGGAUAGUCAAAAUAAUUACUUUUGAAAAUAGAAAAUAUUUUUGCGUUAUUUAUUCAAUUUCAAACACUUUUCAUUAUCAUAGUUUUGUCAAAUUCUCAAAUAUGCAAAAAGAAUUUUUAAUAAGCAUAGUUUUUAAUUGAAAAUAACAAAAUAGAUAAUAGUUUGGAUAGUCAAAAUUAUUAAUUAUGAAAAUAGAAAAAAAUUGAAACUAUAUGAGAAUUUAUAGAGAAAAUUCAAUCUAAAUUCAAAGUGAACUCACUUUGAAUUCAGGUUGAAUUUUAUCCAUAAUUUCGAAUAUAGUUUCAAUUUUCAGAGAGUUUAGGCCCGUAAGUGUGCUUUAGAGAGAAGCUCGAUGGAGAAGCUGCGACGGGGCUUAUAAACAAGUGUUAGUCCCCCUCGCUGGGCGAGGUGGGACUAAACUUAUCGUGCAGCCGAGGAGAGGCUUUAGUCCCGGGUGGAGCCACGCCCCGGGACUAAAGACCCCCUUUAGUCCCGGUGCGGAGCUCCAACCGGGACUAAAGGCCCCUGCUUCCCGCCUUCUGGUCUGCCGAAAAAGGGCCUUUAGUCCCGGGUCGUGGCUCCACCCGGGACUAAAGGGGGGCUUUAGUCCCGGAUCGAGCCCCGAACCGGGACUAAAGAUCCACCUAUAUAAGCGGGAGUUAGAAAAUUUUCAACCCAAAUCGCAUUUCCUUCUCUCCUUCCUCGUUCUCCUGCCCGGCGCGGCACAGCGACGAACUCGACGACACCGUCAGGCUGCCCGCCGUCCUGCUCGCCGCCGCCUGCCGUCCUCCUCGCCGUCGCCGUCGUCCUCCUCGCCGCCGCCGUCCUCCUCGCCGCGCGCCGCCGUCCUCCUCGCCGCGCGCCGUCGACACCUCCGGCCGGUAAGCCCCCCGCCCCCUCCUCCCCAACACUCCGGCCAGUAGAAGAAAAGAAGAAAAAGGAGAAGAAAAGAAGAAAAAGGAGAAUAAAGGAAGAAAAAGGAGAAGAAAGGAAGAAAAAGGAGAAGAAAGGAAGAAAAAGGGAAAAAAAGAAGAAAAAGAUUUUUUUUGUCAUUUAAUUCCUAUUGUUAUUAGGUUUGUGCUAGAUUAUUAGGGUUAGUAAUAUUUAGAAUUAGGAAAAAGGAAAAUAAGAAGAGGAGGAGAAGAAAAGAAGAAAAAGGAGAAUAAGAAGAGGAGGAGAGGAGAAGAAGAGGAAAAAUAGAAGAAGAGGAGAAGUAGAAGAAGAGAAAAAAUUAGAAGAGGAGGAGAGGAGAAGUAGAAGAAGAGAAGAGGAGAAGUAGUAGAAGAAGUGGAGAAAUAGAAGUAGAAGAAGAAGUAGAAGAAGAAGUAGAAGAAGAGGAGAAAUAGAAGAAGAGGAAAAAUUACUUUAGGGUUACAAGAAGAAGAAAUAUAUUGUUUGUCAUUUAAUUUUGCUAUUGUAUAGUGUAUAUGCUUGAGUGGGAAUUGAGAGCAAGAAGUUGGUUCCUUGCGCAUGGUGGUUCGUACGACGAAGAAACAGGGGACCUCAUCUGCAGUGACGGUCUUAGGAUACCCAGGGAGAAUUGGAAAAGGAUAGUGAAAGAAAUUAAGGAGGGAAAAAGAAAGUUCACUGCAGAUAGAGAGAAAGAUUUGCUCACACUGGUCCUCAGCAAUGACGAACAUGGAGGACGAACGCGAGGCUUCGGUCCUUCUUACCCGUGGUGGCUUGGGUUUGCUAGAGACCAAGACACUUACAGAAGCCGAGAGAGAGCAAAGAAGCGGCAGCAGGAUGAGGAGAAUGACAAGUUCAACCAGUUGCUUGCCAGGAUUAACGAGCAACAAAAGCAGAUUGAUGAGCUUAGAGGAGUAGCGCGCCACGAAGAUCCUGCAUUUGAUAUUACCGGCGCCCAAUCUAAGCGAAAAAGCAGCGUGGCUAAAUCUGAGGCCCCGCCCGACGAUGAACGAAGAAUGAUAGAGGGCGGUCCCGGCUACCCCGUGGAUGGAAUCAAGGAGUCAACAUCAUGUGAACUCCAUCAGAAAUUCAAGAGCAUAUCCAUAAAGGUGGCCGUCNNNNNNNNNNNNNNNNNNNNNNNNNNNNNNNNNNNNNNNNNNNNNNNNNNNNNNNNNNNNNNNNNNNNNNNNNNNNNNNNNNNNNNNNNNNNNNNNNNNNUGACUAUAAAGAUGCUCUACAGGUAUCUCCAAAGGUGUUCGUUGAGUUAGUAUGGAUCGAGACUGGGAUUUGUCACUCCGUGUGACGGAGAGGUAUCUCGGGGCCCACUCGGUAAUACAACAUCACACACAAGCCUUGCAAGCAAUGUGACUUAGUGUAAGUUGCGGGAUCUUGUAUUACGGAACGAGUAAAGAGACUUGCCGGUAAACGAGAUUGAAAUAGGUAUACGGAUACUGACGAUCGAAUCUCGGGCAAGUAAAAUACCGAAGGACAAAGGGAAUGACAUACGGGAUUAUACGAAUCCUUGGCACUGAGGUUCAAACGAUAAGAUCUUCGUAGAAUAUGUNNNNNNNNNNAGUAACAUACCGAAGGACAAAGGGAAUGACAUACGGGAUUAUAUGAAUCCUUGGCACUGAGGUUCAAACGAUAAGAUCUUCGUAGAAUAUGUNNNNNNNNNNNNNNNNNNNNNNNNNNNNNNNNNNNNNNNNNNNNNNNNNNNNCAUACGAGAUUAUACGAAUCCUUGGCACUCAGGUUCAAACGAUAAGAUCUUCAUAGAAUAUGUAGGAUCCAAUAUGGGCAUCCAGGUCCCGCUAUUGGAUAUUGGCCGAGGAGUCUUUCGGGUCAUGUCUACAUAGUUCUCGAACCCGCAGGGUCUGCACACUUAAGGUUCGACGUUGUUUUAUGCGUAUUUGAGUUGUGUGGUUGGUUACCGAAUGUUGUUCGGAGUCCCGGAUGAGAUCACGGACGUCACGAGGGUUUCCGGAAUGGUCCGGAAACAAAGAUUGAUAUAUAGGAUGACCUCAUUUGAUUACCGGAACGUUCUCGAAGUUACCGGGAAUGUACCGGGAAUGACGAAUGGGUUCCGGGAGUUCACCGGGGGGGCAACCCACCCCGGGGAAGCCCAUAGGCUUUGGGGAGACACACCAGCCCUUAGUGGGCUGGUGGGACAGCCCCAAAGGGGCCUAUGCGCCAAGAGAAAUAAAAUCAAAGGAAAAGAAAAAAAAANNNNNNNNNNAUCCUAGUUGAGAUCACGGACGUCACGAGGGUUUCCGGCAUGGUCCAGAAACGAAGAUUGAUAUAUAGGAUGACCUCAUUUGAUUACCGGAAGGUUUUCGGAGUUACCGGGAAUGUACCGGGAAUGACGAAUGGGUUCCGGGAGUUCACNNNNNNNNNNNNNNNNNNNNNNNNNNNNNNNNNNNNNNNNNNNNNNNNNNNNNNNNNNNNNNNNNNNNNNNNNNNNNNNNNNNNNNNNNNNNNNNNNNNNNNNNNNNNNNNNNNNNNNNNNNNNNNNNNNNNNNNNNNNNNNNNNNNNNNNNNNNNNNNNNNGGUGGCGCACCAGCCCUUGGUGGGCUGGUGGGACAGCCCAAGAAGGCCCUAUGCGCCAAGGAUAGAAAAUCAAAGAGAAAAGAAAAAAAAAAGAGGUGGGAAAGGAGAGAAGGACUCCACUUUCCAAUCCUAGUUGGACUAGGAUUGGAGGAGGACUCCUCCUCCCUUGGUGGCGCAGCCCUUGGGGCUCCUUGAGCCUCANNNNNNNNNNGGUGGCACACCAGCCCUUAGUGGGCUGGUGGGACAGCCCAAAAGGCUCUAUGCGCCAAGAAGAAGAAAAUCAAGAGAGAAAGAAAAAAAAGGGAGGAGGUGGGAAGGAAGGGGGACUCCCUCCCACCAAACCAAGUCCAACUCGGUUUGNNNNNNNNNNAAACCAAGUCCAACUCGGUUUGGGGGGGGAGUCCUCCCCCCCUUGGCUCGGCCGACCCCUUGAGAGUCCCUAGGACCCCAAGGCAAGGUCCCCCUCCCUCCUCCUAUAUAUAUGGGGCUUUUAGGGAAGAUUUGAGACGACUUUCUCACGGCUGCCCGACCACAUACCUCCAUAGUUUUUCCUCUAGACCGCGUUUCUGCGGAGCUCGGGCGGAGCCCUGCUGAGACGAGAUCAUCACCAACCUCCGGAGCGCCGUCACGCUGCCGGAGAACUCUUCUANNNNNNNNNNUGGACUCGGCCGACCCCCUUGGGGCUCCUUGAGCCCCAAGGCAAGGUCCCCUCCCUCCCACCUAUAUAUACGGAGGUUUUAGGGCUGAUUUGAGACGAUUUUUCCACGGCAGCCCGACCACAUACCUCCACGGUUUUUCCUCUAGAUCGCGUUUCUGCGGAGCUCGGGAGGAGCCCUGCUGAGACAAGGUCAUCACCAACCUCCGGAGCGCCGUCACGCUGCCGGAGAACUCUUCUACCUCUCCGUCCCUCUUGCUGGAUCAAGAAGGCCGAGAUCAACGUCGAGCUGUACGUGUGUUGAACGCGGAGGUGCCGUCCGUUCGGCACUAGAUCGUGGGACGGAUCGCGGGACGGUUCGCGGGGCGGAUCGAGGGACGUGAGGACGUUCCACUGCAUCAACCGCAUUCACUAACGCUUCUGCUGUACGAUCUACAAGGGUACGUAGAUCACUCAUCCCCUCUCGUAGAUGGACAUCACCAUGAUAGGUCUUCGUGCGCGUAGGAAAAAUUUUGUUUCCCAUGCGUCGUUCACCAACAGUGGCAUCAUGAGCUAGGUUCAUGUGUAGAUGUCUUCUCGAGUAGAACACAAAAGGUUUUGUGGGCGGUGAUGUGCGUUUUGCUGCCCUCCUUAGUCUUUUCUUGAUUCCGCGGUAUUGUUGGAUUGAAGCGGCUUGGACCGACAUUACUCGUACGCUUACGAGAGACUGGUUUCAUCGUUACGAGUAACCCCCUUUGCUCAAAGAUGACUGGCAAGUGANNNNNNNNNNGAGCGAGGGGGACUAACACUUCUUUAUAAGCCCCGUCGCAGCUUGUCCAUCGAGCUCCUCUCUAAAGCAGGCUUACGGGCCUAAACUUACUAAAAAUUGAAACUAUAUUCGAAAUUGUGGAGAAAAUUCAAUCUGAAUUCAAAGUGAAUUCAGGUUGAAUUUUGUCCAUGAUUUCUCAUAUAGUUUCAAUUUUUUUCUAUGAUAAUGAAAUUUGAGAAUUAUUUUUGCAUAUUUGAGAAUUUGACAAAACUAUGAUAAUGAAAAGUGUUNNNNNNNNNNNNNNNNNNNNNNNNNNNNNNNNNNNNNNNNNNNNNNNNNNNNNNNNNNNNNNNNNNNNNNNNNNNNNNNNNNNNNNNNNNNNNNNNNNNNACGCAAAAAAACAUAGCAAAAUAUUUAAAAAAAAAUCUGAAACAUUGUGAGAAUUAUUAUGAACAAAUGUUAUGGACUUUGCAAAGUUUGGUGGUCAAAUGAUAUUUGAGGAGCUCUGUAAAAAAACAAAUUUACCCUAAAAAUAGUUAAAAUGUAUGUGUACUGUUUGAGCAGAAUCAUUCCCACAAAGUUUGAGGAGCUCUGUAAAAAAAAUUGUACAUACUCCUCGGAUGUCAUUUGACAACCAAACUUUGCAAGCAUUGAUAGCAUUUGGUCAUAAUCAUUCCCACAAAGUUUCAGAUUUUUUUCAAAAUGUUUUAUUAUGUUUUCUUGUGUGGGUGCACCAAGUUGGGGUUCAGCCACUACUUUCCAUUUUCCACUAACACGCCACCGCCUCCUCAGUCCCUCCCGACAUCGGGUAAAGCAAUGCCAGUAUCAUCCUCCAUCGCCGCAUUGUAUGGUCGUCCCUGUGAAACUCCUCCCCAUAUUAAUCCACCACCUAUAGACCAUCCUCAUGUAAGUCUCAAACACUCGUGCAUCGAUGUCCUAUACAAACAGCUUUUAUCUCCUUUUCAUGACAAAGUUUUGAACCAUCGCCUUGUCUGUGUGUGUGAUAGGGGUCCAGCCCACAUGAUAAAGAAAAGUUGUCGACGAUAUGGAACAAGAACGCAGACGUUUGGCAUAAGUAAGUAUAUGUGAUGUGUGCGUUUAUCACAAACGAGAGUCACCGGUCAAUCGUUUGAGAUAUGUCAUAUUUCCUAUACCGUCCAUCCUUGCUACUCGUGUGGAACCGUACUAUCAUCGCAUGGGCUAUUCUAUGAUGCACCGUUUAUGAUGUACACCAUAUCACAAACAUAUCAUGAUUGUAAGCGUGUACGAUAAAGGGACUACCACACACAUUUCAUCCUACGGGACCGUCUAUGAUAGGAUCUAACACUGUAUAUAGUUAUCCUUAUCAAACCUUAUGCGAAAACUGAAUCUAUCCCACGUAUUGCGUUAUUGAUAAACAUUUGUGAUAUAUAAGAUCACGGGAAGAAAAAAACAUGUGUGAGUCCAUAGUCGUCUGCAAGCACACGUAGCGACCAGCUCAAUGUUCGGCCGGCCAGCCGUAUUGAAUCCUUUAUGUGAGGAUUGUUGCGAGACAAGAGAUGGAGAAAAAAUGGUGUAUCUAAAGCACAUCUAGAUGUGACAUAGUUAUUUCACAUCUAAAUGACUAAAUCAAACAUAAAAAAAAAACACUUACACGAAUCUUCAUGCAAGAUCAAUGAUAUAAAAUUUAGAUGUGCGAUAUUUAUAUCACAUCUAGAUGUGCUUUAGCAAAACCAAAAAAUUUACUAGCUCGAACCGACUGUACAAAUUUGUACCUGAAAAAGCAAUCAUGUACAUAGUGUGUGCGCCUUUUAUGUAUAUUGUGGAAAAGAAGAAUCAAAAUAACCAGCAAACGUUGUAAUGAAAAAGGAUUGGAGUCAGAGUCCGAAUACGUAUAUAAACUGAAAAACAAUUGCGUACAUAUAUAUACAUGAUUAAAAGGAGAUGGCUUUCUCCAUGAUUACGAUCCAUCGAGUUGCCGGCCCAUCGAUCUUUCCCUUGUGGUAUGAAUUAUGAUAGGUAUAUCAUGGAUGUCACUAUUUGCAUCGUAAAGUUGCUUUACCAUCGAAACGGUUCUUGGGCCUUAGCUGAAGAAUUAAACAAAAAUAUGAGGACGUACGUAUUAGGAGGUCACUGGUAACAAGAACUUGUAUACUAAUUUAAUGUGAAGUGAGGAAAAUAAUUACAUACGUCAUCGGUGCGGCCGCACUUCUUCUUGCGGCAGUUGGUAGACCUCGGAGGAAGACGUCCAUAGCACCUGUAGAGUUGUACUUCCUUCGUCUCAAAAUAAGUGUCUUAACUUUAUACUAGAGCUAGUAUAAAGUUGAGACAGUUAUUUUGGGACGGAGGGAGUAUGAAUCAAUCAAUGGGGUGCGGCGCCCCGGCCGGACAUGAAAAAACCAAGCAUUUAUACUAGUAAUACAGUAGGCGUGUAUGUGUACGUACUUGCGGCAGAUCAUCUUGUUCUCGUUGUAGCUGAGCGCAAGCGCUAGGAGGUUGGGGUCGACGUUGGGGUACCAGCUUCGUUGCCGGACGCCGCCGCCGCUGAGGCCGAGCACCUUUGUCAGCGUCGACUCCUUUCCGACGCCGUAGUCGGCCAGCGUCCGGCCGUCCUCCUCAUCAUCUAGCUGCUUCCCGGCGAAGAGGAGUGACGGCAGCUGCUGUGGGUCUUGGGAUCCGGAGGUGACUCCUUGCUUGUCCUGGAUCUGAGCUUUGACGCUGUCGACGGUGUCGGUGCUCUCCACCUCCAGCACGAGAGUCGGCCAGCGUCCGGCCGUCCUCCUCCUCAUCUAGCUGCUUCCCGGCGAAGAGGAGCGACGGCAGCUGCUGUGGGUCUUGGGAUCCGUAGGUGAUUCCUUGCUUGUCCUGGAUCUGAGCUUUGACGCUGUCGGUGCUCUCCACCUCCAACAUGAGAGUCCGCCCGGUGAUGGUCUUGACAAAGAUCUGCAUUGUCGUGGGUGGCGUUGCGUUUGUGCCGUUGGGGUGAGGUGAGCUCGAUCAGCGCCGCGCAAGUAAGAAGUGUAUGUAGCGAUCGAUCGAUCGAUCGGAGGGACCAACGCGAUUGCUACGAAACCGAGUAGGCCACGGUAACGUGAUCAUCACGGAUACGGUUUUGGAGAAACAUUGUCAAAUUUGUUUGGUUCAAAUCUUACAAAAAGUUAAUAAACAUGAUUCAGAAUCGAAUGCAAGUGAGAAAUUAAAGCAAGUUUGGUUCAAGGACUCCAUGCACCGGCGGAGUCAAGAACUCUAGAAGUAUAUACUCCCUCCGUUCCUAAAUAUAAGUAUUUUAAGAAAUUCCACUAGAAGACCACAUACGAAGCAAAAUGAAUGAAUCUAUAUUCUAAAAUAUCUAUACCUACCUAAUAAUAAAGCGGCUAUUGCUUUCGUCGGAAAACCCAUCACGUCAUUUUUAUAAAAAAGCCCCUGUAAUUUUUGUUAUUAAACCCGCGCUUCAUCAUUUAUCUGCAACGCAAAAGGGAAAAACGAUUCGCUGCAAAAAUUAUAGCCGUACGCAUCGCCUCCUCCCGUCGACUCUGGGCCACCCUGGCCUGUGCCCAGGCCGCCGCCACACCACUCACCGCCGCGGCCGACCUCAACCGCCACCGCUGCCGAUCUCAACCCACCCGCCUCCGCGGCUGUACCUCUCCCUGCUCACUGCCCCCAUUGCGGCGCUCGAGCGCAUCGCAUCGACCCUGGUCCACCCUGACAUGUGCCCAGGCCGCUGCCACAC